rnacentral:lncRNA from 1 species
UUUCUUUAAGUUCCAUAGUCUUUAACUUUUCCUAAUUAUACUUACGUUAGUUGACUGAAAACCUCUAAGUAUGUCAAGAAAACUGGUGAGCAUAUAGGUAUUUAAGGCAAUUCAAGAAACAUUGUGAGCAUAUAGGUAUUUGAGGGAAUCCACAUGUGAACCAUAUUGUGGAAGAACAACUAUGUUGACUCAAAAACUUUAAAUAUGUCGAGAGACAUUGUAAGCCUAUAGGUAUUUGAGGCAAUCGUAAUUGAAUUUGUCUGAAAUAAAAGGUUAUACCGACAAAAAUAAGAUCCUACUAUUAUUUUCUACCGAGGAACCUUUAUAGGAUGGUAGGAAGUUGAAAUUAGUUGUAUGUUUUAGUUGAUGUUAUUCUUUGUAUGAAAUCAAUAAAGAAAUGCUAUGCAAACAGGAGAUUAAACAUUAGGGAUUAAGGUUAAGAGGUGAUGAAGGAUUAAAGUAAUUUAGUAGCCCUUAAUGGCUCUGGUUGUGCUUUAUAAAAGUUGAGUGCCCAAUGAGUUAAAACGCUUCUGGUUUAGCUUAUUAACACAAGACCCUGAGAAAAUCAAGUAUUUAGAAAGGAAAAAAUAAAUAUUUGAGGCUGACAUCUUGAGUGUUGAACAGAAAGUUGAAUCAUCUGCUUUGAUUUAUCAUUUAUGUGCAUUAGUUCAUGAACAGAAGUGUUUCCUGUUCUAUUUGGUGGACCAAGAGCUGUCUUCUCAUAUGGUUAAACGAGUAUAAUAUGUCAGCUGCUUGGGCAUACUUAUAUGCUUUGAGAAUUGGAAGAUGAGAUUAGGAGCUUGACACUGCUAAGACUGCUAUGCUUGAAAUAGAGUUAUGGAAAGACGAUAGUAAUAGUGACUCCUUCCUGUUGGAGAGGAGGCGUAGUGAUAACGCAUCAUAUAAGCUGUUAAAAAUGUUUCCUUGCUCUGAGAAAGUUGGUUACUUCCGAUUAGGGCUUUGUUUUUCCCUGUCAGAUAUCCUCGUCUAACUCAUAGGCAGGCCUAGAUCAAGUAUUUGGAACCUCAUUCAUUAUCAAAGUAUCUACUGCCAAGCCUUGAGUAAAUUAUUUUGUUUCUAGGAAGAUUUAGAUUUUGUGAUACUUGAGCUUUGAGAGGAUUAGUAGAUAUAUAGUAUCCGAUUAGGUGAUUUGCUCAUUUGCAACACUUGGACCGGUGCCAUAAAUUAGAGGUCAAACCGAGUUGUGUACAAGAAUCUAGAUACAAAGAUGUAAGAUAGGAACAGAUAUAGAGCUGGUGACAAUGAGAUAAUAUGUGGUUUUACGGCACAAGAUCUUGUUCAACAGGAGCUACCUCCCUUCAGCUUUGCUUGGAUUAUAGGAAGAUUUGGGAAUGAAAACCAUUUAGCCUUGUGCAAAAUUGGAGAAUCCAAGAGAAAAAAUAUGAUGGGUGUGGGGCUUAUACAAGUUAGCUACACUGUUUGUCAUAACAUCUGUUGAAUCCUUUGAUCAUCUUUACAGUUUUACCACUUUGCAUGCCUGACCUGCAGGUCGUUUGAUGAACUAAAUCUAUGUAAGAUUUAUCUGCAAAUGGCAUCUAAUAGGUAUGCAGAAUUCUGUUGCUACUUUUUAACUUCUCUUAUGAAUUUUCUUAAUAUAGCUACUCACCAUGCUGACAUCUUUUUUCCUUUUUCCUUUUGGAUUUUCGAAGUGACGAUAAGAACAAAAUUGAGUGAUGAUUGUAAAUUUGAGAUGAUAAAAGAUAACAUUUCGUUUAUACUGUGUCAUGUUUUGUUCCUCCAAUUUAAUUCUGCUUCAUAGGUUGGCACAGUUAUUUGGUAUGCUUUGAUCCCUGUAAAAAAACUUCCACACAACUUUCUAAUUGAAUUUUGUUAUGGACCCAAAUUCCAUUUGAUAUUACUGUAUUUGUAAUUUCUUCAACGGUACCACUAGGUUAUUGCAUUGAUUUAGGUGUCUUCAUUUGUUUAAUCUACAUGAAAUCCAAUUAUUACUGAUGAAUGAACCAAAUUUCGAGUACAUAAACAUAGAAGCGAUGACAGCAAAAAGGAUAAAAGAUGCAUUGAAACAGUGGUAAAAGUUCUGUGUGGAGAUGAGAAAAUAUGAACUUUUCUAUGAAUAAAUCUAUUAAUGCACUAGCCAAGUCUGGGAUGGUUUUUCUUACAUCUAUAUGGGAUUCUCCUUGGGUACUUUACCUUCACUGGAUGGAUUGGAUAUUAUCAAAACUGAAAAGACUUAGUUAUACAAUAGUUUGUCUAAAUCAAGGAAGUUCAAACUGUUUCAUAGUUUGGUUGUUUUUGUCAUUAUGUUUGUAUUUUGGAUAAUGUUUUUGGAAUUUUUGUCAAAUAUAUGAUUUUUGUUUAUUUAGUAAAUUUUUAGAUCGAAGCCUAAAUAAUAGUUUAAAUAUAAAAUCUAUUUUAAAUUAAAGGUGUUUAUAGACUGCAUCGUGCCUAUAUAACCUAUUAGCACCAAUUAUAUGGCAAAAUCCGUGGUUUAAGUCUCAAAUUUUAUCAAGUUCAUUUGUAAUUUAAAUUUUUAUUUUUUAAUUAAAAAUAAUUUUUAUUUAAUAUUUAGUAAUUAAUACAUUUUUAUCAAAAAUCUAAAUAUAUACAAACUUAACAUAUUUUUUUAUUACUAUUAUAAUAUAUUUAAAUUUCAAAUGAUAUAAAUGAAUAUAAUAUAAAAUAAAAAUUUGAAAAAUAAGUUAGAUUAGGCUAUGAAUAUUGGAAUUUAGUUUUGACUCAUCUCUUAGAAGGGGUUUAAUUUCUUUUAUGAAAACGUACUUGCUAGGUUUAAUGAAGGAGGUAAAUGUCAAAAUCCCGUAAGUCCCGGAUCCGACGGGCUACAAACAAAGAGCGAUUAAUUGGAAAUGAUGGGGCUCUCAGCCCAUUAACUUUGUAAGUGAGCAAAGAGCGGUCGGUUAGGUCAUCUAAUAGUGUCAGCCCAUGCGAUGACACGCGCCCCGCGGUGGGCCAGUGAGUUUGAAAUUUAAUUUAUCAUGUACUGGAUAAGCACAAAUCGUUUAAUCAUUUUCUUACCAACGGAAUAUCACUGGACUCGCUUUCCUAGCGCGUUCCCUCCACUGACACUUUUUUUUUUUAAUCGAUACAUUAAUCAGUACUAUUUUUUUUAUUCUAUAAUAUCAAUAAUGUUUUUAUUUAUGUUUAGAAAUAAUAAAAUAUUUGUUGUUAAUUAAAAAGAGUUUUGUUUUGUAUGAGUUUACCUUUAACUAUAAAUCUACUAUUAAUCAAUUAUAAUAUAUUUUAAGAAAAUUCAUAUACAAUAGAACUUAAAUUCGAAAUAAUUAAAGAAAAAAUCAUAAAUAAUAUUUAGUACGAUGAGACUUAAAUUUAGACGAUUAGAGUUUUUUAAUGCGUCGACUUUACUAACUUUAUUAAAGUAUUAUAAAUUAAUUAUUGUUAUUGUUAUUUUUUAAAUUUAGUUAUUGUUUUAUUGCUUAAAUGGUUUUCUUUUUAAUUUCAUACAUAAAGUUUAAAUUUUGUUGAAUAUGUUUUUAUUUAAAAUAUUUAUUUAUUAAUAUGCCACGAAAAUUAAAUUAUGGUAUAUUUAUGAUAUAAUAGAAAAUAUAUUUAUUAAAAUUUUCAUAUAAAAAUUAAAUGAAAUUUUGAAUUAAACAAAUUUAAACCUUAUGUGAGAUUUUAUCAAUUUUUUAUAAAAAUAUAAAAUAAAAAAAUUUAUGAUUAAUAGCAAUUCUAUCAGAUGUAGAAUACAAAAAAAAAUAUGGUUGCUUUAGUUUAAAUUAAUUGUUAAAAAUAUUGAAAUAAAAAUUUAAUUAAGCUUAAAUUAAUUAAUUAAAUCAUAUGAGUUUGAGAAUUUAUAAUUCUAGAAUCUCAACUUUGCCAACCUAAAUAAUUAUAAUUAAUCAAGAAUAUUUUUAAGGGAUAAUUAAUACCUUUUAAUACUAAAUAAUAAAUAUAAAACAAAAAACAUAAAGUCUUUAAAACAAACACAAAAUUUAUUUUAUUUUUUCAUUAUAGGAAAAAAAAAAUCACAUAAAGGAGAGAAGCACACACACACACAUACACACACACGCGGCCACAAGCAGCAGAGGGUUUUCGCUGAAAAGAAGCCUUUGUUUUUCUUUUAUAAGCAUCGUUUCAAAAAGGAUAUAAUCUCUCUUUUCAAUUCUUUUUUUGCCUCUUUUAAGCUGCUCCGCCUGCUCCUUCGUUGCUGUGAGAGAGAUAGAGAAGACGACAAAAGGAAAAAACCUAAAACUGUGAACGACGUCGUUUCCUUCUCAGAUCUGACACACACAGAGAGAGAUAAAAGAGAAGAGAAGAGAAGAGAAGAGGGGGGGUUAUCCCGGUGAGAGAGAGUGAGGAUGAGCGGGAAAGGAGGCGGAGGUGGAAAUAAUGGGAUAGGGAAGGGUAAUAAUAGUGGACUUUCAGGUAUUCCGCCUGGCUCUCGCAAGAUGGUCCAGAGCUUGAAGGAGAUUGUUAACUGCCCUGAACCUGAGAUCUAUGCUAUGCUUAAAGACUGUAAUAUGGACCCUAACGAGGCUGUCAAUCGCCUCCUCUCUCAAGGUUCCCCCGCCCUUUUUUUCUUUAUUCCUUUUUUAAAUUUCUUUUAGUGCUCCUUUUACCCUUGCUGGGUUUUUUUUUUCGUUAUAGAAAUAUUUAAUUUUUUCGGUUAUGCGAAAGGUUAACUGUUGGGUUUCGGUGCUUUACUAAGGAUAUAAUCUGCUUAAUUGCUAGGUUUCUUGGUUUGCUCCGAGUGCUUUAGUUUAGAGUGUAUUUCCAGCAAUAACAUUUUUUAUAAUAUAUUAGCAUUUGCUAAUAAUUUAUUAAGCCUUCAUCUUAAUAAGAACAUCGCUUUUGUAAUUCUCGAAAAUAUGUUUAUUUUUUUCAUAACAAUGGGGCAGCUCAAGUUUUGGGUUUCUAAUGGUUACUGUAUUUCAUUGCUGAUAUCUUAUUUGCGAUAUGUGUAGAUCCUUUUCACGAGGUGAAGAGCAAACGAGACAAGAAAAAAGAGGUGUGUGCCAGUGGAAAUUACGCUAAAUGGAUUGACUUUGCAUUCAUAACCAUCCCAUAUUUAUUUCUUCUUAGUGUUGCUGUUACACCGUUCGAGCAAUAUAGGUCUUACUGGUCAUAUAGAUCAUGCAUCAUGUGAGACUCUCACUUGCUUUCGGGAUUACGAAUGAGUGUUUAAUCUGAUUCACUUUUGACCGCAUGUGCUUUCUCUUUGAAAGCUUCUUAAAAAUAUAUUCUAACCAUUUGUGAUGGAUUUGUUGGAUCUUAUUAUCUCUUUUGAUUUUUUUUCCUCCCCUUUUUGUUCUAGAGCAAGGACUCAGUUGAAGCGAGGUCUCGUGGUGCCAAUAACCUUGGGAGUCGUGGUGGUAGGAGUGGUUCAGACCGAUAUGCUGGGCGUGGUGGUUCAUCCCAUUACAGUUCAAAUGGUAUGACUGUGAACAUGCUCUAAUGCCACUUUGGAGAUGUGUUGCUUGCACUCCGUUAAAAAAUUGCUUUGGAACUCUUUUAGAUGAUUCCUUACCAAUUGAGUACUCUUUUUUCUGGUUAGAGUCUGGCCCUUCACAUGGUAAACCUGCACAAAAGAGAGAAAAUGGAGGUCAUCCUGUUGCAGGGUUUUCAUCUUCUGCAUCUGGUAUGCGAGGAAAUAACAUGAAUCGUGGACCUCAAUCCCACAGGUAAUACCUGUUAGUCUCAGAAGUUAUAGUUCCUUUAUGUUUACGCCACUGAGGAACAGAAAGCUGCUAUAAGUUCUGAGUUCUAAUGACCUUUCUUUUUCGUGCAUGUCAUUGGAUUCUUUGUCUUGCUUAAAUGAUAUCUAUUUGUAUCAAAUCAUUCUUUCACGGAAUUAGUUACUUCCACCAUUAAGCCUCCCUGGGUAAGCAUUUGAAAUGAUUAUUAUCAAAGGUGGCUAGUUUGGCAAGGACAGAUGGGACCCUAAUUGUUCCAAAUGCUUGCCAAACCAUGUUAACUGGAGUUUGGACCUGAGGCACUCAAACAUUUGUCAGCAACUUCUUUUCAAACUUUUAGUUGGCUGAAUUUGGUUUUCUUUUUCCCUAUCUUUGGAUGGUAUUUAAAUCUCUGUUCCAUAAACCUUGCAACAUAUGGUUUUCUUGUGUUGGCCACUUUCUUCUCAUGUGAGUUUUGCUGGUUUUGCAGUGAAGUUGCAGUUUCAGAACAUAAAAUUUCCACAGUAGGUUUAGGUGAUGGGGUUUCUUCUUCAUCACAGCCUACUGGAUACCAAUCUGCUUGGUUGGGGGUUCCAGGUCAAGUAUCAAUGGCUGAUAUUGUGAAGAUGGGCAGGCCACAAAACAAGACUUCUGUGGUGCCAAACCCAUCUCAGCAAAGCACUAAUAAUCGGCAUCAUGUGGUUCCUCCUCCAGCAGCAUUACAGUCCAACUUACAGGACCAGGCUUCCAAGGUGGCAGAUAUUUCUUACGAGCCUGAUGGCACCAAAAAUCAGCAGGUUUCUCCAAGAGAUGAAUGGCCCCCCAUUGAGAAUCCAUCUGCUGCUAGUGUGACGUCUGUCUUAGAGGCCCCCGCAGAAUCUGGACUUUAUGCUAAUGCAUCUAACUUGGCCUUGGGUAGAAGUAAUCAACAUUUGAAAUCCCAGUUGGAGGAAUCUCAGGCAGUGGAUGAUGGUCCUCUUGAAACUGUCAAUAAUAACCAUGUUAGGUCCCCUUCUAUUUCAAGUAGAAAUAUACAAGAGGAUAACUCCAGAGGUUCAUCUCUUUAUGAUAACGACUUAUAUAAGGACGUGAAUUCCUAUCAGCCUCAAAGACCUGCCUUUGAGAACGAAGAAGGUUAGUGUAGUGCUUUAAAUCACUCAAUUUUGUGCGUUUUCUGAUGAAGGUAGUAUACUGCUUUGAUGAAUGUUUCACUCAGUAUGAAGGAUACAGUACUGAUUAAGGCUUGUAUACACUGAAUGCAAUUUCUUUGACAACCCAUUUCUGAUCUUCAUGCAAUAUGGAUAUGUAUGUUUUAGGGUUACUGUAUUGCUUAUGUUCUCCCUCUCCCAAUGACAAUAUCCUAUGUUGCCAGCAGCUUCUGAUUUUUUUAUUAUCAUUUUCUUCCCCUUUAUAUUAUGUGGAUAUGUGAGGCCGAACAGAAUAAAAUUGGAGUGUAGGAAAACAAUUGAGAACCCGGGGGGGGGGGAUGGUUUAGUUCCAAAUUAUUGAUGCACUAUGAAUCUAUCUGAGUAGGUUUAGUUCAUACAUUGGUAUGGAAUUUUUAAUCUUUUAAUGUAUCCUUUGCUCAUUUUUAUCUGCUAUGAAUGUCUUUUGAACUUAACACAUUUUAUGUCCUUUCUUUUGUUCUUUUUCAGCUGAAGAUGGUUCUUCAUCAGUAGCUGUGGAUUUGCAGCAACUUAAUUUGCAUAAUGAUGAUAGGGAGCCCCCAACUGAAGAGGAUAAUCCUUCUGUAAUAAUUCCAAAUCAUCUACAAGUCCACACCCCGGACUGUUCGCAUUUGAGUUUUGGUAGUUUUGGACCUGGAAUUGGUUCUGGCUUUUCUGGACAAUUUGCAUCAAUGACCACAAAGAAUAAUUUGGAUGAUGUUCCUGAAGUAGCAGAUGCAUCAUCUAUUGGGCACUCAGAUAAUAGGUAUGACCUUCUUAAAAUGCUUAGUGCCUUGCUUCACUUAUCUGUUUGUUACAAUUGUGUAAAAACUUUUGCUUUCAGGAAUCCUGAGUACUAUGGUGAUGAACAUCUCAGAAGUGACACGGAAGGAAAUAUAAUAAAUAGAAGUAAUGUUAGCACUGCAAACUAUGAGGUUCCUGAAGAUUCUCAACCUGAGGUUUUGAAACAGGAUGUUUCUGAAGCUGCCCAAGGGAGCCAAUAUUCAUUUCCUCCAUCUGCGUCUGGUUAUAACUAUGAAAACUCUGAACAAUUAAAUCCUUCUUUCGCCCAUAUGCAGACAAGCUCUCAAAUGCAAAAUCUCAAUCCUUUCUCAAGUGUAAUGGUAAUGCAACUUUACAAAUUUGUUUUUAAUGCAUAAACUCUAUCAUUCCAAGCUGAUGAUUCAACCAUAUGCCAUAGAGUUGGAUUAGAAAUUUUCUUUAAUGUAUAAUGUUCUGGUUGAUACUUGAUAGCGGCAUCUUGUUUACUCGAUUUCAAGAAAACUCCUGUUGUGCUGCUUGAAAUUAUGGAUUAAACCUACUAUAUUUUUGGAAUACAUUGUUAGUUUUCUUGAAUGUCUGUCUCUUCUCAACAUAAUGGUUUUUCUUACAGCAACCAUAUACAAACUCGUUGCCGAGCACUUUGUUGACAUCAACUGUUCAGACUGCAAGGGAGCCAGAUCUUCCAUAUUCACCCUUUCCUGUGACUCAGUCAAUGCCAACAAGAUAUAGCAAUGCCACCUCUUCCAUUAGUGGUCCAACCAUUUCUAUGCCAGAGGUACCCUUUGCUUUAUAUUAUUGAUUUCUUGGUGCUUUUACACUUUUUGCAGUUCUAAUUGUUGGGACUGUUUUUAAUGGUUCAAGUGGCCAAGAAGGGAAAAAAAUAUUGUUCCUUUUUUUUUCUUGCUAACACUUAUGGUGGUCUUAUUUCAAGAUUCUUCUGAAGAUGAAACUUCAUCUUGUCUGAUAUUGGAGCUAUGCGUCAUUUUAGCUGGAACUUUAUGUUGUUUAGUGUCAUUGUGUGUCUUCUGUCAUGUUUAUAUGUUUGACUAGAUAGAUUUUUGGUUGUGAAAACUCAUGUUCUAUGGUGACAUGGAAAUGUCCUCAAACUCUUGUUUCUUGAUAUGGAACAGUGACCUUUGACUACUUCUGUCCAUCACUUUGUUGUCCCGAAUUAUGCGUCUGUCUCUACCUGAUAUGCAUUUAUUAUUAUUGCGGGAUCCACUUUUUGGGGAAUGAGUCAAAGCAAGAACAAUAAUAUUUCUUGUGGAACAUCUUUCAUGAUCCUUGGAGAGAGUUCACUAGUAGAUUUGGUUUGUUUCUCUUUUUUUUUUUUUUAAUGCUUGUGUUGGAGUAAAAGGAGGAGCAAAAACACCCAAAAACAAGAGUUAGGGGUGGGGGAUGGUAAAAUGUGAAAGGCCAAUUUGGACACCUACCUAACUAAAAACAUUUUGUAAUUGGUUGGACUUAAUUGUUCCUUUCUUGAUUAACUUGUUGUACGUGUGCAGGCUCUAAGAGCAACUAGUAUUUCUGCAGCGCAGCCCACAGAGCAGUCACUGCCUGGUGCGAGUGUUGCUACAGGACCUGCACUUCCGCAACAUCUAGCCAUGCACCCUUUUUCCCAACCUACACUUCCAUUGGGACACUUUGCCAACAUGAUUAGUUAUCCUUUCUUACCUCAGAGUUACACCUAUAUGCCAUCAGCUUUCCAGCAAACAUUUACUGGUAAUAAUAACUAUCCUCAGUCCCUGGCAGCAAUGCUCCCCCAAUACAAGAACAGUGUUUCUGUAAGUAGCUUGCCUCAAUCUGCUGCAAUUCCAUCUGGCUAUGGGUUUGGGAGCUCUACCAACAUCCCUGGAGGACUUCCUCUGAAUCCACCUACUGCACCUGCGGGGACAACUAUUGGCUACGAGGAUGUUCUUAGUUCUCAGUACAAGGACAACAAUCAUUUAAUGUCACUCCAGCAGGUAAUUGCUGUACAGAGCAUUGAGAAAUCUCAUUUAGAUUUAAUUGUAUACAUUCAUUACUAUGGAUUUAUGGUGCAUGAAUAAUUUACAUUCAUUCUUAUUGAAAGUACUGAUGAAAAAAUUGUCCUUCCAUUUUCUUCCUUUACUCUCAAAGGUCCAUGAUUUCAUGUAGUGCUACAGUUAUACAUGAGUUCGCAUUCUUUUCUGCUUCUUUGAACCUGAAGCGUGCCCUUUCUUUUCUAUGUUUUUGUGUUUAGAAUGAGAAUUCAGGCAUGUGGAUUCAUGGCCCCGGCUCACGAACGAUGUCUGCUGUUCCUGCAAGCACAUAUUACAGCUUCCAGGGGCAGAACCAGCAGGCUGGUGGGUUUCGACAAGGGCAGCAACCACCUUCACAGCAUUUUGGGUCACUUGGAUACCCAAAUUUCUACCAUUCGCAAACGGGAGUAUCGCUGGACCCUCAGCAGCAAAACCCUAGGGAUGGGUCCCUGAGUGGGUCUCAAGGCCAGCCACCAUCAAAGCAGACCCAGCAGUUAUGGCAAAACAAUUACUAAUCUCGUCUCCUCCUGGUUUUUCAGGGUCUUAUAGUGAGUUUGAAAGUGGCCAAUCAAAGGGCCUUCUAGCGACUGAGAAUAACUAUACGUGCAGAUCAUCAACAAUGAUGGGGUCUGAAGAGACUUUGGCUGGCUACUGCCCUGUGCCAUGAGGUUGUAUUCUACUUUUAAUUUAUUGUUCUGUUCUGUUCUGUUAUGUUAACUUAGGAACACAGUGUGCUAAUUUGGGAUAGUGGACUUACUUUACCCUUUUCACUUUUUCUUCCUUGAUUGUUUCCUUCUUUGCCCCUCUAUUUCUCUUAUAGUAAAAAAAUUGUCUCCUUUUUCAGAUUUCAUAUCUCAUCUCAUGUUUCUUACUCUUACUGUACUGUAGCAUGAGGUAUUUGCUUUAAUCAUUUAUAAUUAAUUAAUACUACCAUUUUAGCCUGUUAUCUUUAUGCUACACUGCUACAUAUCAUGGCUGUUGGGAUCCAUAACUCCCAUUAGCUAUUAUUGUUGCAAUAAUUUUGUUUCGUACGACACUGUGUAUAUAUACACAAAUUAAUCAAUUUAAACAAUUCACAUACCAGAUAGAAGAAUUCCAUGGAGUGGCCUUUAAUUUCUUUGAUAAAAUAGAGGCUUUGCUUGAUUAAAACCCACCCAUAGCAUAGUUCUGAGUUCACACCUAAGGCUUUCGUACCCUAUGCUAUUGUUUAUUGUUAUAUUUUGGGAUGUUUUGAAAAUUUGCUGUUUGUGCUUUCAUUAGAGGGUCAUCUUUACUGAUUAUAAUUAAGAUGGUAAUAUCUAGGGUUUUAAUUCAAACAAGUGUUCACACUCUGCGAUUUUUACUUGUAAGUGAAUGGAAGGAGAUUUAACUAUUAAUGUCACACUAUUGAAUUAAAUUUAUGUCAUAAAAUUAAUAUUUUUUUAAUUGCUACAAAAAUGAUCACUUUGGUCGUUUAUUUGGAAUCGAAUGCAAUGUUGUUUCUUUUUUAAUUUUUCAUGCCCUGUACUAUUUUGAGUUCAUAAAUAUUUUAAGUGAGUUGGAGUAGUUAAGCAGUAUCCAUUUGUGGCGCAAUUAAUAGACAGGUGUGAGAUGUUUCAGCAAAGUUGUCACCCACUUCACUCAAAAUUUCAAUUCAAAGUUCAAACUAACUUUUUCUAGGUCUAAUUGUGAUCAAAACCUCUAACUAUUCUCAAAUGUAAAUUUUAAUAUUUCUGCUUUAGUGACUACUUGCUUUGAUCAAGUAGCUAACUAUUUGACCUAACCAAUAAUAAAAGAUCCAUUACAUGAAUUAAAUAUGGAAUUUGAGCAUAGUGAAAAAACCAAAACCCCGACCCUGUCUCUACUUCUCAAAGAGUGUAGUUGAAAUAACGCCAACAUUUGGAGACUUGCUAAACCAAAACCAACAAAAGGAUAAAGGAAAAAAAGCAUGGUAUUAAUCCAUUUAUUUCGGAUUGUUCUACAGAUUAUCAGUUGUAGACAGCAACAAAAUGUUAUAACAAUAACUUGGAAAAAAAUAUGCUAUCAGCCAUCUACUUUUGACCCUUUUUUACCAGACAGCAACCUCUGCGAUUUUACAAUACCCUGGGGUCCUUUUAUAAACUUUUUUUGGACACUUAAUGCACGCUAUAAAAUCCUAAUCCAAUGAAUAAAAUUCAUUCCGGUUUUUGUCGAGAGCAAACCGACAGUUGGUGGGCAUGUUUUCCGCGUGAACCGAUAUCACAUAUCUGGAAAAAGAAAACAUCGGAAAAUUCACUGGUUAUAAUCCGAAUACGAACUGAUAAAAUGUAAUAAAUCUGAUGCAAUAUCUAUUCUAAUCACAAUUCUCCAUGGAUAGAUGACAGACGAUAUUUGGUUAGCAAACUAGGUACAACAUUCAACAGGACAAGCUUGAGGAAACUUCGACCGAACAUGAAAUGCUCAUAUCCUAUUAAGUCAAUAGGAUCUGCUUUUAUUCUGUUCAUAACCUCAUAUGCAAGUAAUCCUUAGCAGAUUUAAUAAAACACCAUUCUCAUAAAGAAAUGAUUCAAAAUCCUACAGCAGCGAGGUCAUGUGUGUUCGAUUUUCAAUAAUCGGAACAGAGUCAAACCCAAUUCCAACAAUCCUACACCAAGUCUUAAGACCAAACAGGCAAAAUGCAAAGCUUCAACAGUGUGAAAAAAACCAACAUCAGAUUCCAUAUGCAGAGACCAUAUCAGAAGAUGUUCACAAAUUAAGACACUGUUAUAUCAAAUGCAAGCAUUGAAAUAUGUAAACUUCAUAAAUGGAAAAACUAUAUCAACUGCUAGCAUUAUUACAUUGAACAUUAAACAACAACAAAUUGACUUCAACUACUAGAUCCUUAAAUUCAUCAAACAACCACCAAACCCUAAAAAUGCUGUAACAUGCAAAGUGUUCUUUUUCUUUAUUUAUUUAUCAUGUCUUUGUUUAAAAAAACUUACCCUAAAUAUUGAAUGAAUCUUCAAUUUUUCCCCAUCAUGACUUUGAAACAGGCUUUUGCAACAAAGCAGACAAAUAAACUUCACCAUGUUUCAAACCACUAGGAUCUGUCUUGUUAGCCACUGCCCAUUUCACUUUCUUGUAUCCAAGCUUACCAAUCAAUGGCCCAUAAAUUUUCUCAAGAUCCACUGCUUUGCUAAAGAAUCGAUCCACCCACAAGUACCCACCACCUCUCAACACUCUAUCCACAUCGUAGAACAUGAAUUCCAUCACCGACAAUGGUAUCCACCGGUUCACCGCUCUCCCACACCGGACCAGAUCCAUUGUGCCGUCGAAAACUGGGAACCUUUGUUGUAAAGGCACGUGUAAUGGCACUAACCCCCUUAAUGCCACGGCUUCAUUGUAAGGCGCAUUGACGUUCAUGGUGGUGGUCAACAUCGUGACGUUGUAGGAUUUCUUCAUUAAUGCAGCGAAAGUUCCGGUUCCACCGCCUAUGUCAAUACCGAGACGGAUCGGUGAGUUAGCCGAUUUGGCCAAUUGCAUGAACUGCGUCAAGGGAAGAUCGAGUUCCGAAGUGUAUUUUAGAAGGGAAGAGCGUUGAGCGUUGAGAUCGAACCCAGUGGGGUUGUUUUGAGACAAACAAGCGAAAGAUUUACACGAGUAUUUGUUCCAUAUAACGCCGGAAUCGGGGAGUGAAGUCGGGAAAGGAGUUAACGGAAGUGAAGAAGGCGGUUUCGAUGGGGUUCUAGAAAAACAACGCCGCCGUGGAAGUGGGUGACAGCCGUUAAGAAUAAGCGUCUCUUGGAUGUCAGGAUCGUAAGGGCAAGUCGAAAAAGGAGUGUAAUUCAUAUACCUAUGAAGAAGAUCAGGAUGGUUGUGACAAGAAGAAGCAAUGGGACCGAUCUGAGAGUGGAGGAUAAGAUCUCGAGGUACAGCAGAACUGGGUUCAGCAGUGGUGGAUGAAGGAGGGUUAUGGCGCGUGAGGUGGUUAAUGGUGGCGCGUAAGGUGUUAAGCUGUCGGAGAAGGUGGUCAGGGACGGGAACAGGGGGAGGAGGGUUGGGAGAUUGGACGGUGGAAGAGAGAUGGUAAAGGGAAAGGAUAUUGGUAGCUACCAUGACUAAGAGGAGAACGAAGUUCAAACCCAUGGUGAAACCCAUUGAAUUUCUGGUCCUUCCUCUACGGCUACGCUACUUUUUUCCCUUCUGAGAUGCUUCGAUUCUUGGGUUUUUGUUAUUCUCGAUCUUGGUGAUUCUUAACUUCACAGGUUUUUGUCUGAUACUUACUUAAUUUUUUUGGUGUUAUAAUUUUGGAGGUUUUAACUCGUUUCCAACUUCAAUCCUCACUUCUCAGUGUCACUGUCUCUCACAUGUUUUUAUUUAAUAAUUUGAUUAAUUUUAAAAUUAGAUUAAUAUAAUUCUGUACCUAUAUUUAAUUUUAAUGUUUAAUUUAUAUUUCAAUUUUUUUUAAAUUCACCUAUGGAGUUUUAAUUUGAUUGGUGUGAAUAUUAUUAUCAAUAUAAGAGGACAUAAGUUUAAAUAUGCUAAAAUUAUAAUCUCCUAUUUAUGGAUUGGGGAAGGAUAUUGACACUUUAAUAUUUAAAUUUUUUUUAAUUAAGCACCUAAAUUUAGUUUCACUAUUUAAUUUAAUAACAUAAUUAAAUAAAUAUCUGAAUUUAGUUUCAAUGUUUAAUUUAGUAAUUAAAUUUUUUUUUUAAAAUACACAUGUCAAAUAUUCAUUGGAUCAACAUAUUAUCAUUUGAUCCAAGUAUAAAAUGAAUAUUAAAAUUAAAUACAGAUACCAAAUAAUAUAUUAACUCAAUAUUUAAUCACUUCACUCACGAGUGACCUGAAAUUUUCUUACAAAUUUGGCCUUGAGUAUUGUCUGGGUUUUCAAUUAUAUUACGUAGUACUGUUUAAGUGGGGAAUUUUUAGAUUUGAUUUGGGAGAUUGGAUCUGAACCGUUAGUUAUAGUCAGGUGGGGUCAAUCAAUGCAGUUUAGGAUAGAAUGAAUCGAAAGCAAAAGGAUGCUUAUUACAAUUUGCAUAUAUCUCUGGCUCUAUGUUGCUAGUUUUUUAAAUAUGUUUUUAAAGCAAUCAUAUAAAUAUUAUUUUAAAAACUAUAAAAUCUGAAUAUAUAUAUUUAUAUUCGAUAUUAACUUAUAUAUUUAUAAAUAGUGACGGAGCAUAAUAGAGAUCAUAAAUAAUGACUUCCCCUAAAAUAAUAAAAUUUUAAUUUAUAUCAUUUAUAAUUUAUAAAAUUUUAAAUUAAUAAUGAUAAAAUUACAUUUUAUCUAAAAAUAAUAAAAAUUUAAUUUAUUAAAAAAAUAAAAUUAUAUUUUUAUUAUAAUAAAAAUAUAUAAUUUAAUUUCGAUUUUCUCAAAAAAAAAAAACUCCGCUGUUCAUGUAAAUGAGAUGGUGUAUUAUUCACGAUUGAUGAAUUUAUGAACGAAUAUUAUAAAAGAGGGGGAAAAAGAACCGGUGUCACGUGAUAUUAGGAUCUACUUGGAUUUAUUAAAGCAAUUUCUUGCAGAUUUGAAUUAUAUAUAUACUAUAAAAUAUUGUUGGGGAAGCUGUCGGCCUGUCAUCCUCUUCAACAUUUGAAAGGGACACUGAUACCUUUCCAUUUUAUUGAGGAAAUAUCUAAAUUCAAACCAAUCAAUUUCAAAGAAAUUUGAUUAGUCCUAAAAUGUUAUUCAACUAGUAAUUUUAAUUGAUAUAACCUAAAUUGAAUUAAAUUUAAAAUAAUUUAAACAAAAAAAAUUCGACUGAGUAACUCAAAAAGAUUUGCAUUCAAAUUGAUAAGAGAUUAUAAUGAUUCAACUUGAAAAAUCAAUCAUCAAGCCUUAAUAACUGGACCAAAAAAAUUAAAUGCGUAUACCUAGAUACAAGGUGAUGUAAUGGGUCGAAGCGAAGUUAGAUUAUUUGUCCAAAACAUUGGAUUUGAGUAAGACCCAAGUUGAGUCAAUCCGAGCCCAACCCAAUGAUCCUUUCUUUUUGGUUAAUAAUUUAAAUGGAAAAGAGAAGUGAUUUUAAGGUAAAAUCGAACAUAAAUCGCGUCCAGCUGAAGCUAAAAGCCUGCGGAAAUCUCUCUCCAGUGAAGAAGCCUUUGAACCUACAGUCUUUGGUGGAGGAGAUCCACUGACUCUCUAAUCAAUGGUAUUCUUUUCAAUUUUCCUUUUGAUUCGUACUAAGUUUCUCAGCAACCAAACAUCUAAUUAGGGUUUCAUUCCACUGUCUUUGUUUGAACCUUUCUUUUUCUUUUUUAUUUGUCCGUAAUUAUUAAUUCUCAACUGUUAUAUUUGUUUUUGGGAGUAAUAGUAGUUGAUGACUUUUAGUUUAAUAAGAAAAAAAGAGGAAUAAAUUUAGGUUUUUUUGGAGUAUAGAGUACACUGUGAUAGUGAAUUUUGUUUUUUUCUCUGGAACAGGGGAUUGUAAUAAAUUUCGUAAUUUUUGUAGGCUGAUCCUGAACUAGAAGCAAUUAGACAAAGAAGGAUGCAAGAGUUAAUGGCUCGACAGGGGGUGGUAAUCUAUUUCUUUUUCGUUUUAAUAUCUAGGAAUUCUAGAUUGGCCUGCUUGUGCUUUUAAUUUAAUGUUACUAAUUGUAGUUUGUUGAUAAACAGGGGAAUCAACAGAACCCUGAACAACAGAAAGCUCAGGAAGAUGCCAAGAGGUCAGUUUCUUAUAUAGAUGCAUAUUGUUUCUAAAUCAUUAAUAUUUUAAGAUUUAUUUUGGGAUCAAAUUAGUUCAUUGAUUUGACUAGUAAAAGCCAUUAACUUAGGGAGGCAGAUGAACGGAGGCAAAUGAUGCUUAGUCAGAUUUUGUCCAGUGAAGCACGCGAGAGACGUAAGCUCCUAUCUCAGUUCACCAUUUGAGUUGAUUCAAGAAGCCUACUGUUAAUUGCUUAUAUGCUUAUUAGUACGUGCAUUCUAUCAUUAAUUGCAGGCUAUUCUAAGUUGUUUUAUUUAACUAUUAGUUAUUAAUGUUGGAUUCUGUAUUUAUGGUAAUCAAUGGACUGUUAAAUCUUUGAAUUUAAUAUACUUGUCUUGUCAGAAAAUGUUUGUGCUUUCUAAGGGCUUAUUAGUAUUUAUUUAUAUUGUUAUAAAAAAGUAUUUAUUUAUAUUAGUUUGUGUAUAAGAUUUUGGAUCUUAAACCAGUUCACGAGUUAGCUUUCGUAUAAACUUUUUUGAAUACUUAUCGUUUAAAAAUAACAAAAAAAAUUUGAGUAGUGAACUCGUGCUUCAGGAAGCAUGGAGAAGUGUGCUUAUAAGUAUUUAUUUAUAUUAGAAAGAGUGAAGACCUAAUUCGAGUGCGAGUUCAAAAAAUUCUGGAAGACUUGAUUAGAAGUCCUAGAAUGAAAAAUGCUAUAAUAGGCCUGGUAGCAAUAUAUUGUUUCUCAAAGACUGAAUUUGAUCUGUUCUCUUUGAUGGUGAAGACUUAUCUUAGACUUGAAUUAUGUAGUGUGAGAUAUCUGAAUAUAAAGGUCUUUAAAAUCUGAGUUGAGUUAUAAAAUGGUAAGUAUGAAUCAUAUAGUAUGCAGUUUUUAGAAAACUCCUACCAAAUACAAACAGUGCAUAAAAUCGUUUGAAGAUACAUCCCUUAUGCCAUUGUAAAUCUUUCAUUCGUAUAUCCCCUAUACUAUUGCCUCCCCUAUACCUCUUUGAAAUUACAACGGAGCUAAAAACGAGAAGAAGACAUGAUCAUGAAGGAAAAAUAGUACAACUUCCUAAUGACAGGCAUAUAUGGCAGAUGCUCUUUUUGCUGUACUUUUUACCAACAUAUAAUUCCUUUCAUUUAAGUUCUUUGCUGUUAUAUAACUUUGUGCAGUUGCUCGAAUCGCCUUGGUGAAACCUGAGAAGGCUAGGGGUGUGGAGGAUGUUCUACUAAGAGCUGCUCAGACAGGCCAGAUAGUUGAGAAGGUAUGGUGAAAAUUUUCUGGUCCAACUACUUUUUCUUGCUUGCCUAAUAUUAAGGGUGUGCAAUUAUUUAGUAUUACUUUGCAGCCAAGCUUUGAUAAAGAACUGAAAUGUGUAUGGUUGAACCCUUGUAAAGGUUUCAGAGGAGAGGCUUAUAUCGCUGUUGGAACAGAUAAACACCCAAACAACUAAACAGACCAAAGUCACCGUAAGUUAUUUACACGUUACCGACUUGCCCUGUCUUUAACGUACUCAGCCCAUAGUUAGAAACUAUUUUGAUUUGCUUCCAUUAUUUAUCCGAUUUUACAGAUCCAGAGGCGUCGGAGUGUCCUCGAUGACGAUGAUUAGAUCAAACUUGAACUGUGAAAACCUCUGCCUGAUUUGUGGGGUAUAUUUAUAUAUUCAUGCAAUUAAUGGACCAGCUUUUAAUGGAUUCUUGAUAUAUUUUAAGACUUGUAUUUCCUCUGCAAUGCUGUUAUGGUAUAUUGAGCAAUAAAGCUGGCGGGUGCUGGCUUAGAGUUUUAAAGAGUAGUGUGAAAAUGCUCUGUAAGUUAAAAUAUUGUAGAGGUUUGCUAAGUGAUGCUUCAUAUGAAAACUUGUUUUCUUCUUCUUUCUCCUCUUUAAAACCGAGAACUCGAAAAGUUUUUGCAUAUGCACAUUUUACUUAAAAAAUAGACAAAUUAUCCCAUGUAAAUUAAAUAAACAAGCAAAUCGGUCAUUUCUAUUAAAAGUUUCAUCCAUGAAAAUUUAACAGAAUAGAUGAAAUUUUUCGCACGUUUUUAAAUUUGGGUAAAUUUUGGUAAGUCACUUGUUAAACUAUCGUCAAUUUUUUUUUAUUAAAAAGUUGAUUGGACCAAUAGAAUUUAAAUAUUCAUAUAUAUAUGUGAAUUGUAGUGGUUAAGGAUCAAAUUAAAAAGAACCCUCUUAAAAUAAUUUUAAAAAUCAAUUAAAUUUUUAAUUGAAAAUCACAUUCAAUUAGGGUGUUAAAUGAAAAAUUAACAAUUAAUUGAACUCUUAAAGAUAAUUUUUCCAUCGAAAUUUUUUAUGAUUUAUCAAGUGAUGACAUAAUUGAUGAUGUAGAGUGACAUUCGAUUAGAAAGUUUAAUUGAUUUUUAAAUUAUUUAUGAUGGCUUUUUAGUAUUCAAGCCACUCAAAAAUUUUGACAGACUUCAAAAUAAUUAUAAAAAAUCAAGCUAGGUAAGAACUUUUUUAAAAAUAUUAUAAAUAUUAUGAAAUUUCUAAUAAUAUUUUAAGAAAGCCAAAAAAAAUCUAAGAAAUUAUAAAUUUUUUUGAAACUUUUAAGAUUGAAAAUUCAACCAAUAAAUUUAAUUAGCACAUUUUAAACUUACAUUUACUGUACAAAAUAAAUUAGUCUUUCAACUACUGUAUAAAAAAUCCUAAUUUUCUUUAAAGAAUGCAACUAAAAUAAAAAUAAAAUAAAAAUAUUUUUAUAACAGUAAUAUUAAGGAUGCCUCUUUCUAUUGAUUUAUUUGAUUGUGAAUUUAAAGAAAUAAUUUAGGUUAGUUUAGUGCAUAAGCUAACAUAUAUACAACAUUUACAGAUAUACAAAUCAAUUAGGCAAAUAAAUUACUUGGGCAACAAUUUUUUAUUAAAUUUAUUUAUUUUAAUUUUUUUUAAAGUUUUCAUUUUCCAUUUUAAUUUUUAAAGUCUUUUAUUUUUCAUAUUAUUUAUUAUAGACUUUUCAAUUUUUUUUAAAAGAUUCCUUCUAAAAUUUUUAGAGUUUUUACCAUGCUUAUUUGUCGUAUUGUUAGGAAUUUUGAUUAAAAAGUUAAUUUUACAAGCUUAAUGGAUUGCUAUUUUCUUAUUAAGAUUACAAUGUGUGAGCUUAAUUAAUUUUUAAAUUAUUUUAUGAGAUUUUUUUAAAGAAUUUAGCUAAUAAUUAAUGGGGUUAUUAAUUUAAAUUUUUUAAUAAUACUACAAAAAAUUAAAUUUUGGGUUCUCUUUUACAUAUUAGGAUUAUUAAUGGAAAGGGUUAACACGUAGUUUGUCUCUUAAAUUUGUUUUAAAGUACUUGGUAUAGAGCAGUGGUUGAAGUUCUUGUUAGACAUAAGUUCAAAUUAUAUUAUCCCAUCCCCUACCUCAAAAUUUUAUUAAAAAAAAUACCUAGUUGAUAUCUUUUUUUUUUUUUUACUUAGUUGACAUUUGAAUUUGUAUUCCGUCACACAAGUUGUACAUCUACACUAAUGUUGUUAGUUUAUGCUGAUGUAACAUUGAUAAUCAAUCUAGUGAUGACAUGUGGUAUAACCUCUCAAGUAUGCCACGUGGAAAACAUAAAUAAAAAGUAAAAUAUUUAAAAAUAUAUAAACUAAUAAAAAACUACUUAAAAACACAUCAUGAAUAAAUCUAGCCAAAUGGGUGUCUAGAUUCAGAUAUAUCUAGAAAGUCAUUUAUCUAAAUUCAUUCUUGCUAUAAAAAGUGUACAUUUUUUAUUAAUUUAUAUAUUUUUUAAUUUUUUUAUUUAUAUUUAUCACGUGAUAUAUCGAAAAAUUAUUACGUGUCAUAUUAUAUCAAUAUAAACUAAUCAUAUUAGUACAACGAACAUAAAUUUAAAUACCAAUCGAGUGGAAGUGUAAUGUAGAAGCAAUGAUGUUGAAAACAUACCUAAUCCAUGUUGCCCAUUCCAUCGUACAGCUGACUCAUUGGUUUAAUUUGGAAUUGACUUUGACUUUUGUACGUCUUUUAACUUUUUAUCUCUCAAUGUCAACACAACAUGUCAUGUUUUGUCUACCUCAGCCUGCCCAAUAAAUGCCUAAGUUUUCCUUCCUCGUGUUAAAGUCAAUUGCAAACUCACAAACCCCUCCUACCACCUUCAUCCAUUUAUACUUUCCAAUUAAAUAUCGUGUUUUUUUUUCGAAUAAAAAUAAAUAUACCUCUUGUCUUUAACAUCACUUCUGCAUGGUUUUGGUUUAAUUUUAUGUUAGGAUUUUUGUUUUCAUAUAUGGAUGUAAUGUUUGAGUAUAAACAUUUUUUUUCUCUAAAAUUAACUUUUUUCCAUAAGUACAAGAGUGACCAACUUGUUAUAUUAUUGGUAAAAGGAAUCAAAAUCCAAAUUUUAUGUGACUUUUAUCUUUUAAUAUUUUAAUAAUAAAAAAAUAAAACAAAUCUAAUAUCUGUUGUUGUUUUUUUUUUUUUUUUUUCAUUUCAAGAAUUAAAGAUGUGGGAACUGGGAGGGUGAAAAAAAGAAAUAAAGAAAAGAAAGCCGCAUUCAUGUGUUUGUAGGUGUAGUAAUUUGACUUCAACAAUGUAUUUGCAACUUGCAUCCUCUACAACCAUUCACCAAAAAAAGAACAGAUAUUUUUCAUGCUUUUAGUUUUCUUUGAUCGCUGUCUUCCCCACUCAUUCAUAUAUUAUUACAUUAUGAUACAUGUAUAAUAUAAAUAAUAAAAAUUACGAAAUAAAUUUAUAAAAGGAAACAAUAUAAAAAUAAUCAUGAUGUCUUUAGUUUAAAUAAAAUUAUAUAUAAGGGUGGAUCCGGAAAUUGGCAAGGGCUUCGGCCUCUCUAAAAUAAAAAAAUUUCUAUUUAGACCCUUUAUAAUUUAUAAAAUUUUUAAUUAGUAAUGGUAAAUUUGUACUUUAUAUAAAUUGACGAGUAACACCAACUCAAUUGAAUAUAUAUAUACAAAAAUUCUAUUUUUUUUUCUCAUUCUCAAAUUAAGAACAAAUAAAUUAAGUUUUGUUUGCUGGACAAACAUUUAAUGAGAAAAAAAAAACUCUAAUCAGAACUGUUUAAUGGUUUGAGUGUCAUUAAAACUUAAUGCAAUUGCAUGCAGUAAUUAACAGAUAACAAAGAAACCUACAAAAACAUUUACAGAGCAGUCUUGAAAUCAUUUCUUCUUACAUUUGAUUGUGAAAGAUUUUACAUGGAGAAAGUGACACAUGUGUUCUUCUUAUAUAGACUACAAACCAUAUAUAUAUAGAGAGACAGAGGGGUUAGGGAAUUUGAAUUGAAUUCUUAAACUGAUAAAUGUAAACAAGUAAAAACAAAACCUUUGUUAUGGGUACUUGGAAUUAAAAUAGUUAGAAUAUUGUAUUUUAUUCAUUUAUCACUUUUAGUUUAGGUUUUCUCCACUUGAAGAUGGAUGACAUAAGAUAAAAGAUAAAUAUUGAUGGUGCAAUGUGUAUAAUGUCUGGGAAUGCUUCAGUUGGAGGAGUAAUCUAGGACAAGCAUUUCUAGGUUCUCUAAAUAUAUUAGUUGUUGUUUUGCGCUCAACGUCGAGUUUUGGGGAGCUUUGGAGAGGCUUCAAAUAGCUCGGAGUCUAGGCCUUCAACAGGCUGUGCUUGAGAUGGAUAGAAUGACAGUUGUCCAUUUGGUUCAAACAGUGUCAGGGAAGUUUCGCCAUUCAACUAUGUUACGCACUAUUAAAGAUCUCUUUCAGUGUUUUUGGGUAGUUCGAGUUACACAUGUCUUUAGAGAAGGUAGCCAAGUCGUUGAUGAUAUGGUAGCAAUGGUGUUUUCAAAACCUUAGGGCAGAUAUAUUUAUCUACAACCCCCGAAUGAAAUCUUUCAAAAGCUACAAGACAAUUGUGCUGAAGUGGUUUGGCCUCGAUUAAUUUAGUAUAAUCUUAUUUUUCGAUUAAUCUACAUGAAGUUGAACAAGAUUUUUGCUAAUUUCUUGCAAAUAAAAUUAUUAGGCUAUUUCUUUUCUUAUAAAUUGUUGGAUUGCUGAUUUUUAAAUAAAAAAUUUAAGUUGAAAUGCUCAACUAACAUAGUAAUACACCAACUAUUAUAUACAGAAGGUUUUUAUAUCAAUCUAUUACUUAAAAUACAUAAAAAUUGAGGAAUCAAUAAAAGUGGAAUAUUUGGAAUGAAGUGUUUAAAUUUGAGUCUCGUCCUGCAAAGAUUAUGUAUAAAUUAAUUAAUUAUCUUUAUUCAAUUCAAUAUUUAUGAUGAUUUAUUUUAAUUAAAACAAUUAAUUAUAAUUAAUUAGAUGAAAGACUUAAAUUAUACCAAAUAUUAUCCGCUGAACUUACCUCUAUCUUUCCAUGAAAACUGAUUUAACUUGAGUCACACUCUUUUAUCAUUAGAUGAACGACUUUAAUGGGUACAAUUAUGCUCCAAAUCUUGGAUUCUUUUGGCAGUAAUGUAUAAGUUGUUUGGUUGACAGAGUCAUAAAUUGAUAAAACUAAGCAUCGUUUUGCGUUCAUAACUAAGAUUAAGACUGUUGACCAAACUAUGCACUUCAUUUUAAAGGAAAAAAAAAAUCAUAAAUUAGCCCACCAAUAUAAAAAAAAAUCGAUUGAAUCUUAACUUGAUUGAUAAUGGUAUUAUUGUCAGUGUAAGAGAUUGUGAGUUUGAGUGUGUUAAAGCGUAUUAUCUUCUUAUUUAAGAGUUAAGAAGAAAUUAUAGUUAAUUUUAAACCUUAUAUAAUAAAAAUUUAUAUUAAAAUUAAUGUUUGAAAAAGUAAAACCCAUCAAAAUUAUGAAACUUUACAUUGAAGUGAAGUUAUUAUUUUCUCUCUAAAAGGGUGGGUGUGUGUGUGCACACAUCAUUAUAAUCAUCUCAAGAUGAAAAGAAAUUGAUGCAAUCUUUUUGUCAUCUACCAGGAGGGAAAAAAUUCAGUGGAUUAUUCAACCCUUUCUUUUUCCUUUUCAUUUUCUAGAAAAUAUAAAAGUAGCCUUUAGACCAUGUGUAUAUAUAUUAUUAUAUAUAUAUAUAUAUAUAUAGGGUAAUUGCAACAAAUAUUUUCAAAUUAUCAACCAAAAUUUAAAAUAUUUAUAUAAAAUAUUAAAAAUAUUAGUAUUGUAUUAACUGAAUCUUUUUGUAAGCCUAUUUGUCAAUAUAAGUGUUAAAAAUGCUAGUUUGGAUCUAAUGACUAUAUUUAUACGAUGUGGAUUAAAUUGUAAAACUUGUGCAUUUAUUUAUAACAUGGAUAGUUUUGAUUUGAUAUGUUGAAAAAAAUUCAUAUCAAAUAUAAAAAAAGAGUUGUUUUUUUUAACAUAUCAAAUCUAAGUUGUUCAGGGCAGAGCCAAGGGGGCUAACAGGAGGCCCGACCCCUAAAUUGAAAUUUUUUUUCAACACUUUCAUAAUUUAUAAAAUUUUAAAUUUAGUUAUGGUAAAAUUGCACUUUGCCCCUCAAAACUAAGAAAAAAAUGAUUUAAUCCUUUAAAAAUUAUAAAGAUAUAAAAUAUUAAAAUGAUGAUUUUACAUUUUUACUAUUAUAAAAAUAUACAACUUAAUUUUACCUCCUUCAAAAAUUAUAAAUACACACAUAUUUAUAAUUUAAUUCAUAUAUUUUAAAUAUACUUAACGUGAAAUUUGAAUUAACAUUUUAAAACUUAAUUAAAUUAAUUGUUAAAUUGAUAAAAUGAAGUAAUUAAUAUAAUUCUAACAUUUUAAAAAUUCAAUUAAAAUAUUUUAAAAUUGGAAAACCAAUUUAAAGUUUGAACACCAAAGCAAAUAUGUCAUGCCUUCCAUAAAGCCAACUUUUUUAUUACAAGAGCUUAACUUUUAUGAUGCAGGCCACAUGUGAACAGAACCCUAACUCAUAAAGUUUAGUUUAAAGUUUGUAAUAUCUUUUCCAUUAAUUAAAUAAUAUUAGAGCUUUUAUUUAUAUUAGAGAAUGAAAGCAAACCCUAUCUUUUAGUUGGAGUUAGUGAAGUAAAACUGGACAAUAUUCAGCAGUAAUCUUGACUGUAUGACCUGGACCUUGAAUUUGUAUUAAUUUACAAUUAAAUUAUUCAGCUGUAUAUAUAUUAUAAAUGAAGUAUGGUUCACAAGCAAUUGCCAAGUCAACUUUAAGAAAUUAAGUAAUGAAAGUUGAUGACUUUUCUAAUAAAUAGUGAUACAAUAUUAUAAUAAUAUUUGUUUUUUUUUAUUAAAAAAAUAUUUUUUUAAUAAUUUUAUUAUAGAUUAUGAUCAUAUUUGUUCUUUUUGACACAUAGUUUAGAAUUAUUCAUAGUCUCUUUCUAACUCAUAAAUAAGAUGGUGAUGUGCUUCAGUAUAUUCGAACUUACGUUCUUUUGUAUUGACAAUAAUAUUCAUAUUAAUCGAACUAAGACUGAAUCGACUUAUUGAAAAGAUAAUUAAAAGAAAGGGUGAAUUGUUUUAGAUAAAUUGGGCACUUUAGCCUAAGUAGUUUAGAAUCAGUCAAAAAUAUUUUUGAUUUCUUGAAAGAAUAAAGCAAUGGGUAAGAGGUUUCACAUUAGAAUUAGAAAAGCUUUGAAGUAAAUUAAGCUUUGGGAUGCUUUAGUGGGUUGGUCAGGCUCUUGUAAUUUUUAUUUGUUUAUUAAAAAAUAAAAAUAAUUUUAAAAGAUAAAAGUUUUUAAAAAAAUAAAAGAAUAAAAUUUUGAUCCCUUUGGAACUUAGUGGAGAGUAGAUGGAUAGUUGUAAUUGGUACAGGUUGACUUUUUGUUUUUUAUUUUUUCUGAUUUUUUUUAUGGCUAAUUAGGAGAAGUGUUUUGAGUGAGCUUAAGUUCAUUAAUUUUGGUUUAACAUAAAAUACACCAUGACUAACAACUCCUAUUAAUAUUAAUAUAUAUAUAUACAUAUAUAAAAAGUUUAUUUUUUUGGGAUAAAGUAAUAUUUAGUUUAUGAAUUUGAUUUUUUUUUAAGUUUUGAUUUUUUUUAUUUAUAUUAGUCUUAGAAAUUUGAUAGAUAUUUUCAAUUUGAUCCCUAAAUUUAGAUUUUGUUAAUAUACUAUGAUGUGGCAUUUUGAAAUUGUGCCAUAUCAUUACCUCAAAAUUUUUAAAAAAUAUUAUUGCUUUAUAAUAUUUUUAAUAUUUUUUUAUAGUUUAGAAUUUAUAUAAAAUUUUUAGGUGAUGAUAUGUCACAAUUUUAGAGUACCACAUUAUCAUACUUUUAACAGAACCCAAGUUUAGGGAUCAAUUUGAGAAAAAAUUAUCAAAUACCGAGACUAAUAUGGACAAAAAUUUCAAGGGCUAAAUUUAAAUUUUUUCCAAAUUUAAAAACUAAUUGUUAGUUUAUCCUUAUUUUUUUAUUAAAUUCACCAAAUUCUUACAUAAAAUGGUGAAAGUACCAUAGAAGCCUCCAUACUAAGAGUAAGAUUGAAUUUUGCCCGUUUUACUUUAAAAAAUGGAUAAAUUAUCCCUUAUACAUUAAAUCAAAAAACAAACUGAUCAUUUCUAUUAAAAAAUUCAUCCAUUUUUAUUGUUAAAAAUUAGCGUGGCUGACAAAAUAACCAAACAAUUUUACGUGGCAUGCUAUAUGUACCUCAUGAUAAUAUACAGGAACUAAUUUUUAACAAUUAAAAUGGAUUAAAUUUUUAACAGAAUGACCAAUUUACAUUUUAGUUAACAUUCAAAUAUCAAUUUAUCUAUUUUUUAAAUAAAAAAACAAAAUACAGUCCGUUUCCUAAUAAAAAAACUUUUGUAGUAUAUUUACCUAUAUAAAAUAUAUAACAUAAUAUUUUAUUAUAGUUAUAUUUUAAGAAGUCUAUCAUUAAUACAUAGAUUCAUCAUAGAUCCAAUUAUUGUUUGGAAUUCAAUGACCUCAUGUUCUCUCUUCAAAUCGCAUCUCAUUCCUUCCUACACUUAUCUAUCUAUAUACUCAAGUUCGCAAUUUAAGAUAUAUUUAAAUAAUUUGAUUGACAUCAAUAUUGUUGUCAGUAUAGGAGGUCGUGAGUUUGAGUGCGUUGAAGUGGAUUAUCUUCCUAUUUAAGAGUUGGGGAGGGGUUGUGGGUAAUUCUAGGCAUUGUAUAAAAUGAACAAAUAUGAUAAGAAUCUAUAAUAUGUAUAUAUGCCAAUUGAGUCUUAGUUUGAUUGACAUUGACAUUGUUGCUAGUGUCAGAGGAUGUGGGUUCGAGUGCGUUGAAGCACAUUAUUCUCCCAUUUAAGGGUUGGGGAGGGGCUAUGGAUAGUUUUAGGCAUUGUAUAAAAAAAGAGUAGAUAUGUUGGGGAUAAACCCAAAUUCAACAACAAACAAGAAUGAGAGUUAUUAGAGUAUAAGAGUAUAAGAUGGAGAAAAAAUCUAAAAAUAACCCUCAAAUCUAGAAAAAUACAAAGCUCUCUGGCUAAAACACAAAAUUACCUUAAACUCUUUUCUUGUUGUGUUGUUAAAUCUUAAUCUCUAGGUUUGCUGGUUUGCUAAGAAAUUCGUGAGCUAAUAUUAUUAAAAUAUCUCUAGAGUUAUUAGAGUUCGAUUGAAAAAAAAAAUCAGAGUUUAACUAAGAGAAAAAAUAUCAGAGUUUGAUUGGAACACAUCGCCACAUCGUGACGUUAUUUAUCUACUCAACGGGACGUCACAUGUCGCGUCAUUAGGACGUCGGUUUUUUCUCGUAGAAACAUCGUGUGUCGUGUCAUGUCGUCGACACAUUGACUCUUCCAUGUCAUGAUGUUAACUCUGUUUCAUCCAAAAUAUGAGACACACUCCACAAGAUAUAAUAAUAACUUAUAUUGAGAUUAAUGUUUAAAGAAAAAAUAUAUUUAUAUAUAUAAUAAAAUUAUUAAUUAUGAAACAUCAAAGUUAGCAAGCUGCGUUUUUACCAUUAAAUAAAACCAUCAUCAAUGCCUAAAUAUAUAUAAACUUUAUAAAAAUACUUGUGCUAAUAGUUAAUAUCAACUUAUACUCCCUACUCCCAUUAAACCUUUGAAUUUUUUUUUUAAAGUCUAUUCAUAGAAAAAUCAAAUCUAAUUAAUUCUUUAAACGUUAAAAUUGUAUCAAAAGAAUUAUUAAACUAAUGAUUUUUAUUGUUGAUCUUAACAUAAUUGUUAAAAACAGUGUUGUUUAAAUUGAACUAGAUUGAUCGAUUGGACCAAGUGGACUAAAAAUCAAUCAAGAUAUCGAUCCAAAGAGAGGUGUAAAAUUAAUUGAUUUAUAAACUAAUAUGAAAAUAUUAAACUGGUAAUUGAAGUGCCUGACAGAUGAACAUGCUAUUAGAAGACUAUUCCACAAAUUACAAAUAUAUGUAAUGUAGCGAUAAAUGCACAUUUAUCCUAUGAAUGUCGACCAACAAACUCACAAAUAAAAUAAGAAAAAGAAAAGAUUUGACUGAAAUUGAAUUAAUUAAUUAAACCAAAACAACCUAUUAGAAGACAACUAUCCACAAAUUACGGCAUGGCAUUUACAUUUUACAUGCUACAAAUAAUGUUCUAACCUACCUUUUCAAACCUUUUUUUAAUUUUAACUAGUAUAAUUUCCCCACCUUCUCCCGGGGAAUUCCUUUUUAUAAUUUUUUUUCUUAAUAAUUAAUAUCAAUAAUUAAAUAUUAAUAAUCACUUAUACUAAAUAAAUUAAAUUGAAAACUAUAUUUUUCUAUAUAAAUAUCAAACUUUUUAUUAAAUCAAUACAAGAGAUUGUAUAAAACUGUGAUUCCACGUCAUCCAUACACCUUUUCAAGAGGAGAAAAACAAAUAAGAUUUUUCCUCUUGAUUAUUAGCUUUUUUCUCCUAAAAAAAUUCAAAUCAAACUAAAAAUGCUAAAAAUCAGGAGAAAAAAUCUAAUUUGUUAUUCUCUUAUUAGAAAGAGAUAAGGAUGACGUGGAAUCACAGUUUCAUACAAUUCUUUCUCUGAAAUCAAAGGACAAAUGAUUGUAUUGAGAAUAGAUUGUUUUAGAUCCAAUUAUGCUUAUGGUAUUUCGACUAUGUUUUAAAUUUAGAAAUAUCUAUUCUUUAGUUUGAUAUAUUUUGGUUCAUCUACAUAAUAUCAUUAGUUUGUCAAAAUAGUUGAUAUCAUUAAUUAUUCUAAUCCAAUUGUUGAGGUCAAUUUUUUUCUUUUAAAAAAUACCCAUUCCAACUUCAUCCAUAUAUAUAUAUAUAUAGUGUUAGAAAGUUGCUUUUAAGAGAAAUUCAAGAAAUCAUUUUAAUCUAUAAAGUUAACCAUUGGACUAACUGAUGUCAUUAUAAAAGUAGAUGAACAAAUUAUGUCAAAUUAAAAUAUAAAAACUAAAUCCCAAAUGUGAGUACAACAGAGAGAUCGAAACUGCAAUUCUACCAUUAUCUUAUAACUUUGAAAAAAAAAGUGAUGCCAUUAGUUAGUCCAAGUAAUUAGCACCCUCAAUAUUUUUGAUAGAUGACGUAAUUAUUUUUUAAUAAAGUAUUUAUUUCAACUCAUUACACCGCCAAAAUAUUUUUUUGAUAAAAUAAUUUUUUUUAAAAAAUUAAUAAGAAUAACUAAAAAGGUUAACUAUUUAAAUUAACUAACGUGGUUGUAGAAAUAGAAAAUUAAAUUAUGUGAAAGUAAAAUGUAAAAAUUAAAUAUGAAAUGUAAGCAUAGGGGAUGAAAACUGAAAUUUUACUAUUUUAAUUAUAAUGAAAAAAAAAGAAGGUAAAGGUAGAAAUCUCAAAUUAAAUUUUAAAGACUAAAUGUAUAGAAUUUAAUUGUAAUUAAUUAGCUUUUGCUUAGGAAUAAAACAAAGCUUUGGCAUUCAAUUUCAUUUUGAAUCUUUCACGUGGUUGACUAAAAUCGUAAACUCGAACUUACUUUCAAUUUUAUAAUAUAUAUUUUGUUAAUUACAACAUUUUUUCUAUUUUUAAACUAUUAGAGAAUAAAUUUUAAUAAACUAUUUAAUUGAUAUUAGUUUGAUCUCCGAUUGGGGUUUAAUGCAGUUUAAAUUACAAUUAUAGAGAAAAUAAAUUUUAUUUCAAUUUAACUAUGUAAAUUUUUAAUAUUUUAGUGUUUUAAUUUCUUUUAAAAAAAUUAAAUUAAAUUUAUUUAUUUUUAUUCUUCUUAUCUGUUUUAUGGUCUAUGUUUAGAGUUCGUAACUGCUCUUCCUCUCAACAAUAUUGUCUUUAAGGAUCGAACUUGUAUUUUCUCAUUGAGCAUUUUAAUAUAUAUAAUGUUUUUCGAUUGUUUAAAUUAAAUCAAUUUCAGAUAAGGUCAAUUUUGAGUUUUAAAGUUUCUUGGUCAUUUUGAAUAAAAUCAAUUUCAAAGGUCCCUUCAGGUUCAAGGGUUCAAGUUUGAGACUCUAUUUUUUAGAGUCGAACCAUUACCUAUUCAGGUUCGCUCAUUUUAGGUUACUUAUUUAAGUCAUUUCAAGUCUAGGUCAAAUUUUAUUUGAGUCAUUUCAAAUUCAGAUCAAUUUAAUUUUGAAUAUGAUGAGUUCGAGUUAUUUCAAAUUUGAAUAAACUUUCAUUCAAACCAUUUCAAUUUUGAAUUGAAUUAGUUCGAGUUAUUAACUUUCCAUAAUCAAAUCAAGUUAAAAUUGUAUAUAAAUUCACAUUGAUCGAGCCAAAAUUUUAAGUACAGAUUGAUAUUGAGUUUUCAAGUUUGAGUUCAGUUGAGUAAAAGUUCUCUAAAAAUCCUUAUACCAAAAAUCAGACUAUAUUUUGUCAUCUCUACUAAAAAAAUGACAAAUUAAUUAUUCUACAAUAGAUAAAAAAGUAAACUGGUUAUUUUAUUAAAAUUUCAUCAAUUUUACUGUUAAAAAUUGAUUCUAUAUAUCAUAAUGAGUUAUACAAUUAUUACAUCAAUUUUUAACAUUAAAAAUAGAUAAAAAUUUUAAUUAAAAUUAUCGAUUUAGUCUUUAAUCUAUCUUAUAAAACUCAUUUAUUUAUUUUUUAAAUAAAAAAUAUAAUUUAAUUUUUAAUACACAAACUUCAAUAAUACUUUUACUUACGUACAUUGUUUGUAGAAUAUUUGUUAGGAGAACAAAGGCCUAAAACGGAAAGCAAAGGGGAAAAAAGAGGGAAAAGGUCGGUGACGUGGGGAAGGCAUCAGCAGCAGCAAAGGGUCACUCCCACGUGCCGCGUGGAGUGUGUCGGCUACGGUCAAAUGCCGGUACCAAUAAUGCCACAUGUAUGCCUAAUAUUCCAAAACACUAUUAAUUGUUCUUCCAGUUUGAAUGUUUGACUACCUUUUUGUUUUUUUGGUCUUAUCUCACGGCCUCUUUCAUCUGCUUCAUCCUCCUCCGAUAUUACUUGUUUCUGCUUCCACACGCUCCCUUCUAGCGCGUUUGUCCCCUUUAAUAUUGUCAUUAACAAGAGUUUAUUUUUUCAACUAAAAUUAUUUUUUACACAAAAAUCCAAACUACAUUGUGUUAAGUACAUCUAAACAAAAUUACAAACAUAAUCAAAUAAAAUAUAAAUAUUUUAAUUAACUUUAAUUUAAUUUUUUUAAAAAUAUCCACUAGUUUUAUAAAUUAUUGUAGUUUUUUUCUUUUAAUUAAUUUUCUUUACGGACUAUAUAUAAAUAUGUGUCAAUUUUUGGUCGUACAUAACAGUAGUACGAAUUAUAUCUAAUAUAUUUUUAAAAAAUAUUUUUUUUUCUUAAUAUAAAUGUAAAGAGAGACAAAAAGUAAAAAAUUGUUAUUAUAUUGGGUAGUAAAUGUUUCCAUACUAGAAGCCACUUUUUGCUCUUCCAAUUGGAAGGGUUUUUUUUUUUUUUUGUCAACCCUCCUUUAUAAAGUGACUAUGAAGCCAAAGUACCAUUCAAAGCUAAACACUCUUCCUAUAUAUCAUUUAUAUAUACACAUAUUUCUGUAUAUAUAGCUCAAAGAACAUGAAAUCAGAUAUGUAAUGAAACCCUGAAAGUAUUACAAAAACCAAACACUUUGAGGCCCUUUGUUUUUCACUUUCCUUUGUUCCUAAAAUUGUUGUUUCACCAUGUCGGAACAUGAAUUUAGAGAGUUUUAUUACCAUGCAAGUACGAUGUUCCACAACGAUCAUGUUGACGACAUGUUUAGGGUUUCGUCAUCAGCGUCGGUUGAUCAUCAUCCUUCUUCGUAUAUGAGCUUCACGGAUUGUUUACACAGUUCGGUUGACGAGUACGGUUCACUCGAAAAAGCCUUCGGUUUGUCGCCGUCAUCUUCGGAAGUGUUUUCUUCUCCAAUCGAAGGCUUGAAUCAGACAACAAAUCAACAAAGUAGUGAAGUUAUGGCCAUUACCCCUAAUUCUUCUAUUUCUUCUUCCUCAAGUGAGGCUGCUUAUUGUGAAGAAGAUUCAGAGAAAAAUAACAAAGAUAAGCAGCCAAAAGGGUCUGAUGAUGGAAGCAAAGAAAGCCCUAAGAAAGGGUAACUAACUAACCCUUUCUCCAUUUAUUUUUAGAAUUUACAGACAGCAUCAAUGGAGUUUAACUGAUGUUGUGUUUAUUUGUUGUGUCUGAAAGGAUGAAAGGGGCUAAAAAGAAAGACGAAAGAAAGCAAAAAGAACCACGAUUUGCUUUCGUGACAAAAAGUGAAGUUGAUCAUCUAGAAGAUGGGUAUAGAUGGAGAAAAUAUGGACAAAAAGCUGUGAAGAACAGUCCAUAUCCAAGGUUUGGUUUCUUUCUCUUUCUUUAAUUUCACAACCAAAAACAAACAUUGAAACAAAUCUUAGCAAAUCACGUCUGAAAGUGAAACCUGUUUGAAGUCUUUGGUCUGUAAUUGCAUUAUCUUUUCGCCCCCUUCUUUGACUAUAUGCCAAGAUGCAGUCAACAUAUAUGAAACUUUAGCUGUAAGUCAUUAGUAACUUGAUGGAUUUGAAUUAUUGAAUUAAUUCCCUGUAUAUGUGACUUGCAGGAGCUACUAUCGGUGCACUACACAGAAGUGUACAGUCAAGAAAAGGGUUGAGAGAUCAUUCCAGGAUCCAUCAACGGUGAUCACAACAUAUGAGGGUCAACACAACCACCCACUCCCCACAACACUGAGAGGAAACGCAGCAGCACUGUUCCCGCCUUCCAUGUUUGCGCCGGCGACGCCGCGGCCGAGCUUCCCGCAUGAAUUGUUUAUGCAGAUGGCGGCGCCUCAUCAAAUGAAUAACCAGCAAGCUAAUGGUGUAGCAGCAGCUUCGAUGUUUGGAGAAAACUUUAGUCCUUAUCAUCACCAGUACCACCACCACCACCGUCAGGUUUCUGACUAUGGGCUACUCCAAGACAUGGUUCCUACCAGGUUCCUUAAACAUGAACCAUGAAUAUCCCAUUCUUUCCGCUUCUUUUUUUACUCCUUGUGAGUGUACAUAUUUAUAUAUAUUUAACUGCUUUUAUCGUUAUCGUUUUCAUCUAACUUAUCUAGAGCCCAAGAAUUAUUCCUCAGUUAUUGGUUUUGAAAAGGGCUAACAUCGAGGACUAGAUAUGGGAGUGGGAUUAAAGUUCUUCCUUUGUACUUGAAACUGGUGGUUCCAUGUGUUCAGUGGAAAUGUUCGUAUGCUUCUAUGAUAGGAAAAGAGGAUCGAAGACUUGUAAUAUUAAUGGAUCAUAUUAGUUACAUUUAUGUUUGUUUAUUCAUAUCAUCAUCCUUGAUGUUAUCAUUAAUGAAGAAUGGGGGAAUAGUUUCCUUUAGUUUUUUUGACAAAUUUUGUACAACAAUGAUAUUAAUGUUUUAAAUAAUAUUCUUUUAAAACAAUUAUUAGCUACUUAAAAAUCAAUAGUAGAAUAUAUCAAAUAUAUUCUAUAAUCAUCACAAUAAAUUUUGGGUAGUAUCUAGUUUUAGUGACAUAAAGGAGGAGGAGGAUACAAAGGUUGAUAAACAUUAAGGAAAAGUAAAGCGUAGCUACUGCAGCAAAGGAAAUUCGUAGCCUGUAAUAUGAACAACGUGAAAUGGUGAAUGGAGAAUCAAAUAACACGUUUAAAACGAAGAUUAGGAUUAACAAAGUUUUUACGUGGAUGGGUUAGAAUUAUAAUACCAGAGCCACUAAAGUAGCAGUCAGGGUCGACAUGACGAUCAUAGAUUUGGUAGUACGAAUUCAUGACUGUUGAUCUUCUCUCCUGUACUCAUUAUUUGGUAGCAAUCCGUCCAUAUUUAUGAGGCAUGGUUUUUGAUGUAAAGUGAUAAGGGGUAACUAAGUGCCAUGCAUAACGAUACAUUACUCCCUUAAACUCCCUUAAACUCGACACGUAUUCUUAAAGUUAUCAUUACUGAAAUCCCCUGAACUAACAAAGUGGACAGCUAACAUUAUGGAUUUCAGGUUUUUGAAGUAUUAUAUAACAAUUUGUCCUCUACUUUAUUAAAAAAAGAAAAAAAAGAGAGUUAUAAUGUGACUUUUUGGAGAUAGAUUUAUAUACCUUAAUAGUGUAAUUGAGGGCUUUCAAUAAGGCAAGCUGCACAGCAAAAAUUUAACGACCUGAACCGCAAAAAUACUUCACAAACCCGAAAUCUGGAAUGCUAGCUCGCCACACGCUAGCUCACCACCUCUAGCUCACCACCUCUGCUAGCUCGGGGGAUCGCAACAGGAAUAACCCUAAAGAUACAUAUCGAACUUAAGGGGGUAAAGUGUUGCUAUGCAUGACAUCUAAUUGUCGCCUAACACGUCAAAUCAGGAAAUCGGGCCUUAUAAAUGUGGAAGGAUUGCACCAAAGGAAGGGACAGGCGAGAGCAUAAUGGUUGAUGAGAGUAUCAUGCUCCAUAUAAUGGUUGCAGUUGAAUCCCAAGGUUCUAACGCGAUCACAGGCAUAGUUAAUGGUGGAGGCCAGUAAUAUAGUAGGGGGAGCCUCACAUCUCAUCUAUAUAAACUUCCACUUAUAUCACUAAGAAUACUCCAAGACCCUAUUUUAUACACCGAUACUAUUCCAAACCUUCUUUUUCUCUUCUAAACUUCCUCAUUUUUCCAGAAACACAUCAUGUAAGCCGUUUCCAUUUUUCAACCUCACAUGUUGGUAAACUUUCUUUUUCUUUUUCUAUCUAUUUGAUACAAGUAAUCUUAAACAUGAUUGUGAUAAAUUUUGAUACAUUUUAAUACAUUUUGAGAUAAUUUUGAUGAUAUUUACUAGUUUUGAUAACUUUUAAAAUAUUUGUUAAUGUUGUUUGUAAUAAGUUUCACGUAGUAUAUAUAAUUUUUGUAUUUUUUUUAAAUUACAAUUUAUAAUUAAAUGAUGAAUUAAUGUAAGUAUUUAACAGAAUAAUUAAUUCAACUUAAAAUAAUUAAAUUGCUCAUACAUAAUUUACUUAGGUGGGACUUGAACAUAUGUGCUUAAAGUUUCAAGACCUCGAAUCUUAGCAUUAGCUUUAAUGGUUAAAAGUGUUCACCCCAUUCUCUAAACGCAAAACAAAUCUAUGAGCAUAACUUGUGCGAUAAUUUAAUAAUAUGCGCGUGAAAAUGUGAAUUAUACUCUUUUUUUAUCAUCUCGAUCAAAACUUUCAUUGAUAAUUUUAUCUCUUAAACGAAAAUUUUGACAAUUUUUCUUAAUAAAUUUGAAUAAUAUUGUACACUAUUUUAAUAAUUUUGUAUAUAAUUUGACAACAUUGUUGCAUCAAAACACCAAAUAAAACAUGUUUCAGUUUUUUAUGAUUUAAAUAAUUUUUUUUCUCAAUCCACAAACAAGCACUAUAAAGCAAAAAUUAGUAAAAAUUAUAUUUUAUUCUAUCAUAUAAAUAUCAUAUAUGAUAAAAACAUAACUGUAUUCAUCAUAUAUAAGCACACAAAGCACCUACUACAGAAAUCAAUCUCCUAAAUGUAAAUAAAAUGUUGACACAUUUAUUACACGCUAAACCCAAAAACCUUCACACAUGUAGAACAUCUAUUCCAUUUCAGACCCUUCAUGGAUACUGGCAGUUUCCAUAGCCUGUAAAAGGAAAAAAAAAAUACAAUUACAAACAAUGUCAAAUGAUAAAUGGAGUAUCAAAAUAAAAUUAGGUUCAAGAAAAGUUUUACUUGGAUCGGAUAUAGUGAUGAGACCAGAACCCUGGAAGUUACAGUUAUGUUCUUGACGACCAUUGGCCUGGUAAUAAGAAUUCAUGACAGACGAUGCAUGGUUGAUAUAAGUGUUGGGAUCAUAGCAUUCUCCACCUGGUUGUAUCUGGCUGCAAUUGAAUCCAAGGAUUCCAAGUUGUUCACAGGCAUAGUUUAUGUUGGAAACCAGUGCUUUAUCAUCAGUGGAAGGCUUUGCAACACACCAUUUUUUGACCUGUUACAUAACAAUUUCAUUACAAAAACUUGUGUAUUUUUCUAAUGAAAAAAGAAUUGACUAAUUUACCUGUCCAUUGGCCAACUUCAGCAAGAUCCCUGCAUGAAAAUGGUUGUUAAUUAUGAUUAAUGGGGAAGCCAUUAGAAACAGUGAGAAAAUGGGGAAAAAGAUACAUACCAGAGUUAAAUGACAAAAGGAGGAGAAAAUAGAGAAGGGGAAGUGAGACAGGUGAUUUAACCAUUGCUGUUUGUGUUGGAAGUAAAAAUUGAUUAAAAAGAUAACUUGGACAAAAAGAAACGAAGAUGAAUGUCCAAAUAUAUAACGGUGGAUAAUGCUAAUUCCAGAUAAUUUGCUGCUUCCACGAUAUGAAAGACUAAAACAUUCCUAGCACUAGCAAAGGUUUGUAAAUGUCUUAAAUGGGACAGUUUAACAGAGAAGUUGUAAGGCCAAAAGAUGAAACAGCAUAGGGUUUUUUAGUAAAUGACUUUGUGAAUUUGUCAUAAAAAGGUUGUUUUUAAGUAAUGAUUAUUGAAAAUGCAAGUUUCAAACCCCAAAAUUAAUGAUAUAUUAAUCAUAAAAUGUAGGUUUCAAACCCCAAAAUUAAUUUCAGAGUUAUGAUACAUUAAUCAUCUAUAAUCCAGAAACAUAAAAACCGAGGAGCUGAACAGGUUUAGGACAUGGUGAAAUGAUAAGGGAGUAAAAUGUCUGAAUCAAAUAUUGUCUCUGCUGCCAUAUUCCAUCUAAUUGAACAUGUUAAAUAUUUAGAAGAAAAUCAGAAUUAAGUAAAAUUUUUGGAUUAGUGUUUUAAUACUAAAGACUAGAUUAAUUUUUUGGAGGAACAAAAACUGUGACAUGUUAAUGUUUUUCACUUAUACCAGGUUGUCUUUAAAUCAACAAUAUGAUCAUGGUUAAGUUGAAAUAUUCAAGUUUUGGAAACUCUUUUUAGGAGAAGCUAUUUUUGUUUGAUUAUGCUAUAACUGCCAGACAGGACUUAAUUUGUUUGUUUUUCUAUUUUUCUAUUAAUGGUUAAGGAAAAGGUCUUUUUGGUCAUAUUUUGUAUAUUUUCCAUUUAAUUUCUUGCUUGAUGAUUAAGGAAGUACAAGAACGGCGUUAUAAUGCAUGAGGACGUCUGUUGGUAAGCGUCGGGUGAGAUUAAAUUUAUAUAUAUAUAUACAUAUUAACGUAUUUUAUAUAUUUGUUUCAACAAAAUAAGAAUUUUAUUUAUGUUUAUCAAUAUUUGUAAAUGAAAUUCAUUUUAAAUUUACUCAUAUUUUUUAAAAAUAAAUUAUAUUAUUUUUAAUUUUAUAUUUAAUUAUUUUAUAUUUUUUAUUGAAAUUUUAAAUUAAGAUAACUUAAUAUAUUUUUAAUGUUUAUAUUAUAAAAAUUAUAACAUUAUAUACAUAAUUUGUAAAAAUAAAACAAAUAUAUUUCAAAAGUACAUACUAAUUCGGGUUUAGGCUGAAUCUUGUCACAAACUUGACCCAUAUCUUAAACGUGCAUAAUUUUUAAUCCAAUUCCAUUUAUGAGAUCACUUAUUUUUGUCCAAACCUCUUAUAUUUCUAGUAGACUUUCAGACUUGAAUGAAUAGUUUAGCCCUUGAAUAAGAUGCACGGUGGUAUCUUAUAUAAACAUUAUAGAUUUCUUCAAUAAUUUAAUUAAAUUGGUACUCGUGAAAGCAAAAACAAGAAUGUAAAUAUACGAGAAAUAUAAUGAUGCGAGGGACACCCAAAUCCUACUCGUCACAUAUAAAUAAUGAAAAUAUGAAUUAAGGAUUUACAAAAUGGUACACGUUAAUAAAUAGGAAUUACAAUAUAACGAGACAAGAUAAAAGAUUGUUUGGUCCAACUUUGUUUCAUUUCUUGCAUAUAUAUAAUAUAAAUAUAUAAUAUAUUAAUGUGUAUGAUUUUAGAAUAUAUAAUUUAUAUAUAGAUAAAAAAAACAGUUAUUUUGAAAUUCCAUUAAAGCCCAAAAAAACCCUAUACAACUAUCCAUCUCCACUGUACACAAUAAGAAAGUUUAAAGUGAGGGAUAACAUCCCAGUUGAGAUAAAAGCAGAUGGGAUACAUUGAUAUAGACAGGUUCUGUUGAGAUAUACACCUUGCAACUAUACCAUUACAAGUAAAUUUUAACAUUGCUUCAAGUAUACCAUAUUCCAUCUUCUUUAUUGAAGCAAGCUGUUCUGAACAAGACAUCAACUAUUAUUGGUGGCAUAAAAUACCACCGACCACCAACAAAACUAUGUCCUGCCUUGUAUUUCCACUUGAAAACUUCAUGUUUCUUUCUUCACCAAUAAAUGAAGCUCAAUGCUUCCUGCUCUAAAAAUAGAGGGAUUUUGUCGAUUGAGUCUCAGUUUAAUUAACAUGAGCAUUGUUAUCAAUGUAGGAGGACAUGAGUUUGAGUGAUUUGAAGCGCGUUAUCUUCUUAUUUAUGGGUUAGAGAGGAGCUAUCGGUAGUUCUAGAUAUUGUGUAAAAAAUAACAGAUAUGAUCAGAACCUAUAAUGAGAUUAUUCAAAAAAUAAUAAUAGAAAGAUUUCAUAAACUUGGUUGAGUUGGAUGUAUGGUUAUUUUGAUUUGAAAAUUUUGAUUAAGGCUAUAUAUAUUUGUAAAUGAUUAAUCCUAAGUUUAUUUAGGGUUUCUCAUAUUUUUAUUUUUAUUCUUUUAAAAUAUAAUUAUUUUUAAUUAAUAUAUAGUAAUUAUUUACUUUUUACUACCAUUAUAUAUAUUGUAUUUUAUUAAAAUUUUUAACAUAAAUUACUUAACAUAUUUUUAAAUAUUUUUAUUUAAUCUCAUAUGAUAUAAAUUCCGUAAUAUAUAAAGGAAAAACAUAUUCUAAAUUUGAAAAUGGGUAGCUUGGGUUUUGAAUAUUGAAACCCGAUCCCGGCUCGUAUUAUAAACAAACCUAAUUUUUUUACACAAACUCUCUCAAAAUUUCAAGGUUCGAGUUGGGUGGAUAGUUCAAUACUUGAACAUAUCUACUACAAAAUGUGGGUCAUGGUUCUUUUAAAUUAGGUUAAAUUUUGCUACUGAUCUUUAUGUUAUGUGUAAGUUGUAGAUUUAGUCUUUGCACUUUAAUUUUGUUAUUUUUCUAGUCCUUACCAGCCUAACCAAAUAGUAGUUGUUAGAUUUUUUUAAGUGUAAAAAUAUUAUCACAUGUGAAAUGUCAUAACAGUUUUUUGUUUUUACAUAUUACUCACAAAAAAUCAACUAAUAAAUUUAAUAAUUAUUAUUUGUGUCAAAAUUAAAAUUUUAAAAUUUAAAAAGAAUUGCCAUUGUUUAAUUCAGAACAAAUUUUAAAAUUAAAAAAAAAAAACUAAAAUUCAUUUAGGUUCGGUUAACUCAUUUUGGCGACAAAUUCAUUUCAGUUUAUUUAAUUCUAGUGACUUAUUUGGUUUAGUAGAUUAUUCAUUAUAUAAAAAUCAAAUCGAUUAAACUAAUCAGAUAUACAUCUUUAAUGGUCAUUGAGAUGUUAACUAACGACGUUCACCAUUACUCCGACAUAAUUAAAAUACAUUAAAUAUAUUUCAUAUAUAAAAUGAGCUUUAUUUUUAUUAUCCAUAUCAAAGUUCUUUUUAUUAAAUUAUUUUAAGUAAUACUUUUUUUAUUGGUAAUAUUUUUAGAAUUAGACCAAUAGUUAGAUCUGUUCGAUCACUAAUUUACUGGUUUGAUUAAUUUAAUAAAUAAAUUCAUAAAAAAUUAAAAAUAAAAUACUUCUUUUAAUCAAUUUUUUAGUCGAUCAAUCAAUUCAUAAUUCAACUGGUCGACUAUCAUUCUCUAAAUUAAUACUUUGAUUGAUUCUCAAUUUAACCAAUAUAUAUAUAUUAAUUUGAAACUGUUGGUGUUGGAUAGUAAAGUAGCAUUGGCUAUAGCAAUGGUGUCAAAAGGGGGCACUUAGGAUUCGAGGGUGUCGAACCAUAACUGUGACUGGUCAGAAAUUGCCUGUGACCCUUUCCAUGACUCAAUGAGGUCAUUCCAUCAAUUCAAACCUCGAAAUCAUUAUAGUUAUCUGAGGCUAUCUAUAUCUGAAUUUCUAUUGGUUCAAAACAUUAUGGAACUUUGAUUUCUAACGUCUACUUGGCACAUGCAACACCACGUAUCAGUGUUGGAUAAUUUUGGGGGUUGAACGGUGAAUUUUGUAUUCAAAAAAAAAUCUCCAGUGCUGUUUGUUGAACCAAUGAGAUUGUGCCACUCGUGAAUCACAUCGGAUAACCCCUAUCAUAUCUACUUGGAACAGUCGCAACUACCUGUUUCAAAUUCAGGACCACUUUGGCUUUGCGUUUCAUUGCAUGGGUCUGAAAUUCUUGUUACGAGAAAAAGCUGUGUAAUAAAUAAUGUUAAUGUUUAUGGAAAGGAUUAUGUUUAUGUUUCAUCUUGUUUCUUGAUGAAGCCUAAUGAAUCAUAUAGUUUUCGACACUGAUAAUUAGACUACUCGUGGGUAUUUUUAGAAACUAUUAAGUCAAUUACAUAAUUAAAUUUUUGGGUUUUUAAAAAUAAAUUUCAAGUUUUCUUUAUAAGGGUUAAAAGGACGAGACUUGGUAUAAACUAGACCAACACCACUGACUAGUUGACAUCAAUUUAAAGUAUUUUGAUAGUGCCGCAAAACAAAUUAAGCCAGAUUUUUAUUCGUAAGAUAUUUUACAUUUAUGUAUUAUCAACCACUCAAAUCCUGUAAUUUGUAUUUUUAUGCUGCCAUGAUUUCAGCAUCAAUAAACUUCACCAAAAGAAAGGAAAAUCUAUUUCAUAUGGCUCAAAGAAACUUCUUUCUAUGAAAACUCCAUCUAUUUUUCCAUGAAAAUGAAAAGGAAGGGAGAGAGAAAAUCAACAUCAAGGGAGUUGUUUAAUUUAUCAAGUAAUAUUUGUGUGUAUUAAUUAUAAUCACGAAAAUAUUGAUUGAAUCACAAGUGAAGAUUUUAUAUUUAAUUUAUAAUUGACAAAAUUUUAAACUUUAUUUUUGAAUUAUUUUUCAUACAAAACAAUCCAUUUAACUGUUGUAGCAUUGCUUCAUUGUUCUAAACAAAACAAACAAAAAGGUUUCGAAAUUUUUCAACAGUCGAAUUUCCGUCACUAUGGUGGCCAAGCCUAUGAUCCUUAAAAAAUAUUGGUAGCCUGUUAAGUGAAAUUUUGUGGAUUAAAGAUUGCCAAGUGGACAUGCAUGGCCAACAUCAAAAUCUUGGAAGCUCCAAUGAAAUGAAAGAUAGAGAUAUUACGUAGAUAAGGAACCUUACUCUCACCUUCCUAUAUAAUAAACGCAUCGGAUUGCCCCUUCAAUCACUCACCCAUCACCAACAAAAUCAACUGCUUCACAAUGGCCUCUACAACCAUGGCUCUUUCUUCCCCAUCAUUCGCCGGUAAGGCAGUGAAGUUCUCCCCUUCCACCCCUGAAAUCCAGGGAACUGGCCGUGUUUCCAUGAGGAAAACCACCAAGCCUGUUCCUUCUGGUAGCCCAUGGUACGGUCCUGACCGAGUUUUGUACUUGGGUCCACUUUCCGGUGAGCCACCAUCUUACUUGACCGGUGAGUUCCCUGGUGACUAUGGUUGGGACACUGCUGGACUCUCAGCUGAUCCCGAGACCUUUGCUAGGAACCGUGAGCUCGAAGUCAUUCACUGCAGAUGGGCCAUGUUGGGAGCUCUUGGGUGUGUUUUCCCUGAGCUGUUGGCUAGGAACGGUGUCAAGUUCGGUGAAGCUGUAUGGUUCAAGGCCGGGUCUCAAAUCUUCAGUGAGGGUGGACUUGACUACUUGGGUAACCCAAGCUUGAUCCAUGCUCAAAGCAUUUUGGCCAUCUGGGCUUGCCAAGUUAUCUUGAUGGGAGCCGUCGAGGGCUACCGUAUUGCCGGUGGACCACUCGGUGAAGUGACUGACCCAUUGUACCCAGGUGGCAGCUUUGACCCAUUGGGUCUUGCUGAUGACCCAGAGGCAUUCGCUGAGCUCAAGGUGAAAGAGAUCAAGAACGGUAGGUUGGCUAUGUUCUCAAUGUUCGGGUUCUUCGUUCAGGCCAUCGUGACCGGAAAGGGACCAUUGGAGAACUUGGCUGACCACCUUGCUGACCCAGUCAACAACAAUGCUUGGGCCUAUGCCACCAACUUUGUCCCCGGAAAGUGAACUUAGAGAGUGAGAAGGGAUUUGUCUUGUUUAUGUUUUUAUUUGUUGGUGUGAAUUUAAAUUUGUUGCACAAUCAAUGAAAGUAUAAUGUGAAUUUUGUGUGCUCAAUUUUUUUGACUGUUCCAAGUCCAUUUGUUUCAAAAAUGAAAAUGGUAAAAACAGGUGAAGCACAUGACGCUAUAGACAAAACGAAAAAUAAAACUGUAAAUUUCGACAAAUUAAGUAUAAAUAUAUUCCCGAAUAAACUUCUCAGCGUUCUAUUUAGUAUCUUGAGAACUAGACAAUGUUACAGUGACCACUUACAUAUAAGUAUAUGAAGUUACCCUGAGGAGAAUGAAGGCAAUGUAUAUAUAUAUACACAAAAAGCUUUAUCAAUGAUAUGAAUGGUGUGACAAAAUGUAACUAUGAACUGGAUAAAGGUGCAAUGAAUACCGAACUCACCAAUGCAGGUUUAACGUUACUGACCUUCACUCAUAACCAAUGUCGACAAAUCAGGGCUGCUUUCGAUUGUUCUUUUGUACUUGUCCACUCAACCAAAUGUAACUUAAUUGUUACUCGCUUGUGCCCUUGCUCUUGAAAUAGACUUGGCAUAAAGUUCUUCGUAUCGUGAAGCUGAAGAAUCCCAGCUGAAAUCUAUAUUCAUGUUCUUCUGAACGAGUUGUUUCCAACUCUCUUUGUUGUUCUUGUAGAAAUUAAAUGCACGCUCCACGGCACCGUUUAUUCCCUGUCAGGUUUUUAACAUCAUCCAAGGUUUAAGCAUAUGAUAGAGAACCAAAACAAUUAAGUUGGAAUGUUGGCAAAUCAUGUUUCAAGAAUUCCUAGAGUUACCUGUUCAUCAGGAGUUGUAAAUGUAAAUCCGUUUCGAAUUUGAUGAGGUAUUGUCUCCUCAUUGACAUCGAAAACGCUAUAGAAGAAAGAUUAGAAAAAAGUUAAGAUUUAUGAUUUUACGGUCAAGUAACUUCAUAUUAGUGGAUUUACUUGCAUAUAAUUCGAGUAAAGUAGUUUACCUGUCAUUUAGACCGCCAGUUUUUCUUGCAAUGGGUACUGAACCAUAUCUCAUUGCUAUCAUCUGGAUGAAAAAAGAAAACAGACCUAGUAGUUAUUUAUUAUUCAACAAGAUUGCUCUAGCUGGAGUUUGGAGUUUGGAGCAUACCUGUGUAAGGCCACAAGGUUCAAAAAUAGAUGGGAUGAUGAACAUGUCAGAUGCUGCGUAAAUGGCAUGAGAAAGAGACUCGUCAUAUUUUAAUAUUAGCCGAAUGUGUUCGUGGUUUUGGAAUUGGUUUGCUAUACCCUCAAAUUCCCUCUGAAAACAAAUAAAAGAAAAAGAAAAUGUAAUAAUUUAAAUCUCAGUGUACUAAGUAUGGAACAAGAAAAGGAUCAACUUAAAAUAAAACAAAUAACUCCGCAUGGACUGAUAUGCCUGAAUGGAGUUUUUAUUGUUUUUAUAGCUUUCAUUCAUGCAAGCAGAAAGAAAUCCGUUGUUCACACAGAGAAAACAGCAGUAGAGAUUCACCUGAAUGUGGGGAACUGGACUUGAACCAAGUAGUACAAACUGACCGCCCAUCUCCAAUGUUCGAUAUAUGGCAUGUUUAAUCAGAUGAACACCUUUCUGUGGCACCAAUCUUGUUAUGCAGCCUACCUAUUCAAUAAUAAAAGACUUCGAGUAAGAAUCCAGGCAGUAUUCAGCUAAGAAAUAAUAAGAACCUCCUAUAAUGCUGUGUUAUUGGAACCUAAAGGUGACCUUAAACUUACAUUGUAACUCAAAAGCUUUCAUAGAGAAUAUAUAUUACAUCUUAGCAAUGUUGAUAUAACAAAUAAAUACUUCGGAAAUAAAAUUACCAAUGGCCGUUGAUCAUCAGCAGAUGAAAGCCCUAGAUUCCUUCUCAUUGCAGCUUUAUUUUCUGCUUUCCCUUGCAUAUCAUUAGCACUAUACUGCACUUUGAGAAAAUUAUCGGUGGCAGGAUUCCAUGCAUCAGUAUCGAUCCCAUUUAAGAUUCCCAUGAACUUUCUUGAGUGAGAAUUCAGUGUUGAAUGGAGGCCUUUUCCUCCCUGUAAAAGUUAGGGACAUGAUUUUGUAGUUCAACCUUAAACUUAUAAAAGGAAGACCAUGUUCUUGAAAGAAAAACUACAGAAUAUUCAUACCUCAGCAGUUCGGACUUCUUGUGCAUAAGUGGGUGAUACUGUCGUCACUAUGUUAGAGAACACAAUUGCACCCUGAAAAGAAGGAAACUUAGAAAAAAGAACAGAAAGAAACUCUAUUUGUUAUAGGCUUAUAGCCAAACCAGUGAUUACAGCACCUUAACAGGAUUGACACUGUCACGUGCUGUGUUAUCCUGCAUCCUAUCAGGUCUAUUUAACUCCUGGGCAUCCAGACCACAUGAUGCCAAUUCUGAAGCAGAUGCAGUCCCUUGGUACUCAAAGUUAUGGCAUGUAAAACAUAUUCGAGCUGAAUUUAAACCUUUUGGAGCAUACAAGUCCCAGUAAAGUGGUGCCUGAAAAUGUAGUCAGAAACACACCAGUCAACAGAACAUUAAAUCAAAUGCCAAAAGAAACAUGAGGCCAAAAUGUCAUACAACAAAAGCUGUCUGCCAAUCAUGGCAGUGAAUUAUAUCUGGUUUCUUGCCAGCUUGAAGAAGAAACUCGAGUGCCGCGCGACUGAAAAAUGAAAAACGCUUGAAAUCAUCAUGCUCUCCAUAAUAUUGACCUCUCCAGAAGAACUUGUUGGGAUGAUGAGGCUCAAUAAAAUAAACAGGAAGACCUGUGAAUUUAAUUGCACAUUCAGAAAGCAAAGCUAAUAGAUAACACGCAACUAGAAAGGAAAGAAGAGAUUCUCACCUUCAACAGUACCAACCCAAAUUUUAUUUUGAAAUAGUUUGCCAUCAAAAUAUGACUCUACAGUCACAUCUAAGGCCUGUCAAAAAAAUAAAAUAAAAUCAUCAGAAGCAUAUAUUGGCCUAUGACCUUAGUGCAUCUCAAAUAUGCAAACAUACCCUUAAGUCAUGAAUGCCGUCAUAUUGCAUACAAUCAUAUUUUGGAAGAAUAAUCUCUACAAGGUGUCCUUUCUUCUGCAGUGUUUUACCAAGACCAGUCACAACAUCUCCCAAACCACCAACCUGAUUAAAAGUUAUUGAAUUAAGAGAACAGAGCAACAGAAAGAAAUCCUCCAAACUAGUAUGUAAGAAUAUGCAAGUGGAAAAAUAUUGUACAAGCUACAUAGAAGCAAGAGUCAGAAAACAAUUAUUGAACAUUCAUUUCUCAGUACUAGGAAUUCGGCGAUCAAUUUUGUAAACAGAUAAAAUAACCAUUCUAGCAAAGAACUUGACAUGUAGAGAUAUAUUUAGUAAUUAUUAAAAGAUCCAAAGGGUAGUAGCCUAGUUGCUAACAAAUAGAGAAAAGAGAAUGCAGAAACAAAAUAAUGUCACCAUUGAGACAUAUCUGGUCACAUAAAACAGCCAGCUACCCAGCCAUCCAGGUUCAAACACAAGAUCAAAAAUAUACACUUGCAAGCACCCAGGCAGCAAUUUCCAGCGGCACAAAGGUACACAGGCAUUGGUGAUUAUACACUAUCAACUUCUUUCAAGCAGAUUGAAACCAUGUAUAGUCUUUAUGCAUAAUUCCAGUUAAGACUUCCCAAGGAGCUUCGCUCCUUGGAAUUUAAGAGCAAAAGAAAAAGCUACACUAGGGGUGUUUGAAAUAGAUGAGGAUGAAUUUCUCAGCAAAAUAUGGAAAAUAAAAUGAAAACUUUAAGCUUGUUUGAUCAAGGUAAGUAAUAGGAAAAGGAAAUCCAAGAAAACUGCUAAAAGGUCUGUCCAUUGGUAAGGAAAGUUGUAAACUUGUACUUCAUAUAAAAAGCAUGUGGAUUAACAAGUAAAAUGAAGAUGUCUACUUCAAUGAAAUUUUAAAAGGAAGAAUUUGUUUUCGACCUUUAACAAAAGAAUCCAAGCCAUGAAGUACAGCUUUAGAUUAACCUAGACAUCGCUCUACUGCUUAGUAAUUGAAUUCCAGAAGGAAAGAACAGUAGACUCUGUACAUCUGUCAGCAUUAGCUAAUAAACACGAAAUAUUUAGUGAAAACAAUGCAGUCUUCCAUUAUGAUGAACUGAGAAACAACUCAAAGUGUAACUGGUAAUGCAUAAACAAUCAUAACUAUUGUAGUAUAAUCAUAGGAGAAUCCAUUGGUGAACAUGGAAAACCACAGAGGAUGUGGAAAAGAACUGUUGCAAGCAAGUAUAGUGAGGCCACAAGAUUAAAGAAAAAGUAAAACGCAAUAUAUUAAGAUGCUCCUCUAUCUUACAGCUUUUUAUUAUAAAAAAUGCAAACUAUGCAAGGCAUAGGAACCAGGAAAAUAUCAGCAACACCUAGAAAGAAAUUAACAAUCUAAUAAAUACAUUGUUCAUUUUGACAGAGUCAAUCAAAUAAGAAGUCAGCAAAUCUAUGAGAAUACAACAUUAGAUAUGGACAUGGGUUAAGGGUUUGAAGGUAAAAAAAGACUAGAAAGGAUAAGGCCUCUUACAAUGUAUGUUCAUUAAGAUUAGCCAAGAAAGCAACAAAUAUGAGGGGCUAAGUCUUACCUUAGCAACUGGUGCCAUCUCAGCGGCAAUAUGAACGAUGUACAACCCUGGACUAAAGACAAAAAGAUGGACAAGUUAAAAAAAAGCAGUAAUGCAGUAAAAUUAAUUAGUUAAAGGUAAGCACCUAGUUUGUGAGGAUGCCAGCCGGAGAAAUGUAGAUAUAACUUCACGCUCAUUCUUUUCUUUGCAUGCAAUAUGUGCAUCACGAAUGCAUUGCUCCUUCUUCCACACCAGUUCUCUCAAAAGCUUUGCAUCACUGUUUGAUAUUUUCUUCUCAAGCACCCAACCAUCAAUAGUAAGCAAUAAGCGGCUCCAAAAUUCCCAAGGCACAUCAUCAACUAGUGCAUCUGAUGUCCUUUUCUUGCUUUCUUCUUUCAAACUAUUAAGAGUAUCCUGAAAUGCCUCCAGAGAUUCUUGAUAUAAUUGGACAAAAGAAUAUAUCUCUUGAUCAGACUUUUGAAGACGCUCCUCUAGUAGUUUUAUCUUUUUCUGUAUGAGUUCAUUAUAUUGUUGCAUUUUGUCAGAUGACACCUUAAGGACGUUAACCUCUUCAAGAGAUUUUUCCAAUUUAUCAACCUUCUUUCGAAGAUCCUGGUUUUGCUGUAACACUAAAGUGGCUUGAUCAGCCUGUUUAGUUGCCGUAUCGAACAACUGUUGCAAAUUUUCUACCUUUUCCCAUAGCUCCUGGUGUUCAACCUUUAUAGUAGAAAUAUUUGAAGAGUCUUGCUGAGAAACCAAUAGUUUAGACUCCAACUCCUUCACAGAGGACCCUAGAAAAGAGCAUUCAUUUUCCAAUGUUGCCAUGCGUUCAUCAGUGUUCUUGACAUUGCUAAUCAUAGACUUAAGUGCUUGGAUAUCAUUUUUUAGGGCUAGAUUCUCUGUCCUUAAUGAAUCAACAUCCUUGUUAAGAGAAUGAUCAUCAUGUGUUGAAAGCACUUCCUCAUUCGAAAAUUUCUUUUGAUUCUCAUAUGGUUCAAGCUCACCCCUGCCAGUUAACUCAUUUCGCAACAUCUUUAAUUGACUUUCUAGGAACUCCACAUGUAUCUUUCCUUGAGAAGCAACUUUAAUCCGUGCAUCAGCCUCUGCCAAUCUCAUUUCCAAAAUGUUAAUUUCUCCUUGCAAAGUCUCCUUCUCAUCAAGAACUUUAUCAAUAUCUUCUAGCGCAUGAACCCGUGCUUGAUUGAGAACAAGGAUAUCUACAUAUUUAGAAACGAAUGAAUGUGAUGAUAUGUAUAUAUCUCGAGUUGUGUACAAAAAUAAGAUCUACAUAGAUAUAAAUUCAACAAUUUCUUAACAGCAAGUUAUCUUACUUCUCUCUGCAUUUUUUAUCAUGCCUACCAGUUCCUCUAGUUGCAUACUUGAGAGCUGCUCUCCAUUUAUGGCCUGCAAAAAAGAAAAUAGCUAUAAUAUUUUAAGUUUAAACCUUUAAUUUAUAUAGUUCAUCCUAAGAAAACAUAAAAUAAUAAGUAUAUGACUAGGUAUCUCUUAUAGUUCCAUAACUAACUGCUUCUCCCGAGACCUAAUAAGUUCGGGACUCUAACCUAAAAAGAAAUCAUUUUUAUCAAAACUCUGCAGUAUAUUGUACCAGAUAAAGCAUCAAUAAAAAAAUCAGAUCACUGCUGAAUGGAAAUCUUAAUUAUUAGGGAGAACUCAUAAUUACUAUAAUUGCUGGACACAACAAUUAAGCAAUGGUAAAGGUGUUCAAUUAUUCUUCCACUUCACCAUCAUUCUGAAAAAGUUAAAAAAGAUAAAACAAAUCAAACUAAAAUAUCCAAACAGACAAUAAAAAUGUAACACCAAGCAACACAACCUUAGUCUAGAUUCACUACAGACUUAUUCUGCAAAUGAAAGUACCAAAGCUUUUGUUACAGAAGGCAGCACGAGGCCGUUUAUAAUCUGUUCACUGGUACGCUCCACGUCUCCGUUAGUCUCAACAGCAGAGGCAGAUAGAGUGCCCGAAUUCUGUUCGGCGAUAUUCUCUACAUCUAUCACAGUGUUAACAUCAUCUUUUCCACUAGUUUCAUGACUUACAAAAGGCUCCACAUCUACACCAUUUGGAAAAGAAUUUUCAGGUUCAGAUUCCUCAUCCCUAAUCGGCAGCAACUCUGCACUCGUUGGAAUCCGCUCAGAAGGAGGUUUACUCAUUCGUUGCCUUUUAUGAUUUGAACUACAUAAAUAUCAAUAAGAACAUAAAAUUUAAAAAAAAAAAGAAAAAAAAAGAGUGGAUUAUAAGUUGUUCUAUGAUUUGGAUUGAUCAUAAUCAGUCAAACUCAUUGACUACCCUAAUCAUUAGGUAUAAUUCGCAUUCAAACAUAGAACCAUAUGUCAUUAGUUACUAAUUCCUGCCAUUAAUCUGCACUAAGAAAUCAAAAUUCUAGCAAAUAAUGUCUAGCUUUUACUAUAUCUAGUUGAAACGAAGUUCUAUUCAGUAAAAAAUUUCACAAACUCGAUCAAGGAUAAAAACAAAAUCGAUCUUUCAAAAAAUACCUGAGAUUACGUUGCCGCAUUUUACAAUAAGCUGGGAGGAAUUGACGCGAAGGCAAAAACAGCACCCUCAUAUAUACAUUCUUAUGCUUAUCAACAGUGUUUUUAUAACUACUGUUAUUCAAACAACUAAAGCCAUGACUGAAAAAGCAAGCCGAUAACUUUGCAGACAUUUCUUUAUUAUGAUGAUUCUUUUUUCUUUCAAAUGACUGAGAAAAGCUUGUUUUCCAUUUUUCUAUGCCGACGAAUUUAAAAGAUAAAUGGGAGGGUAAGAAUAACCGCUUUCUUUGGCAUAACGAUAGCUUCCUGCCUGAGAGGGAAAGCUUAGUAUAAAAAAAUGAAGAUACUAAGUAAUAAAUAUCUUAAAAUGCUGAUAAUAUCUCAGUGGAGGGAAUGAAACUCCUUUUGAUUGAUGACUCCUUUUAUUGUUAAGGUAUGACUAUUUUCGGUUACAACCUUAUCUAAAUCCAACAUAAUAUAUUUAAACAUUUUCAUUUUUCAGUAGAGGAUUUUGAAAGUAUAUUUUAGAUUAUCUUUGGUGAAAUAUUAGAAUUAAUUUUUUAUAAUUUAAAAAAAUUAAAAUAUCAUAUUUUUUAAAUUAAAAUAUAAUUGAUAUAAUUAUAUUUUUAUUAUAUAAUUAAAUUUGUGAUGAUAAUUUAAGAUAAAUUUUAAAUUUUAAAUUGAUUUAAUCCAUUUUAAAAAUACAAGAACACCAAUAAAAUAUUAGAUAUUAAUAUUUAAUGUCCAAUAUACUAAAAAAGCUUUUAAACUAUUAUACUUUAUUUAAAUAAAUCUUAUUUUUUAGUUAAAUAAACUCUUAACUCUUGUUUACUCAUUAAAAAUUUUAAAUUUUAAUAUUAAAAAGUAAAAAUAUGUAAACAUGUUUUAAAAUUUUAAAUUAAUUUACAUUUGAUAAUAAUAUUUUUUUUGGACCAAAUUAAUGUGUUCAUCGCUCAUAACAGUAACUCAUCUAUAAUCUAUAUAAGAACACAUGUUUAAAGAAAUUUUUGAAUUAACAAAAAUAUUAUUUUUUAUUAAUUAUAUUAGUAAUUUGAUAUUAAAAUAAUAAUUUAUCAUUAUGUGAUAAUAAUAAAAGUAAUAUUAAUUGAAUUUUAUAAAUUGAAUUCAUUAGUUAAAUUUUUAAUAUUUAAUUUUUUAACACUUAUUUUGUCAACAUUUAAUUUUUAUCAAAUUAAUUAAUAUUACUUUUAUUAUUAUCACAUAAUAAUAAAUUAUUAUUUUAAUAUAAAAUUAAUAAUAUAAUUAAAAAUAAAAAAUUUUAAAUAUUUUUCCAAACUCGCUUUUAUUUAGAUUAUAGAUUAUAAAUAGAGAAUAUGUUUUUGCUUAUGUAAGUUUAUUAUUUACUUCUUUAAUUUAAUUUAGUUUUUGUUGUUUAUUUAGUUUUUUAUAUAAUUCAUGUGAAUUUGAUGAUUUAGAAAAAAAAAUUACAUGUCAAAUUUUUAUUGGCGGAUUUAGCAAUUCAAUUAAGAUGUUAACACCAGAUAUCAUAAUAAAACACAUAUUAAUACUUCAAGUACUACAAAGUGCAUGUACCACAUUUGAUAUUUUAUAAAAGUACAGGUACCAAAAGUGAAAUUAUCCCCUUUAAAAAUGUUUAGUUACCUAAAUGAAAAAGUUACCAUGGUUUAAGGGCUUCUUUUCUAUUUAGGCCUUCAAACUAUCCCGCAAACUGUGGAUUUGAAGGAAACGCAAAAAAAAAAAAAAAAAGAAGUUAAAAUCUUAUUCUUUGUAAAAUCCGUUUACUUUUUUAUAUUUUAUUUUUAUUUCCGCCAAAAUCAGAAAAUCUUCUUCUUAAUGCACUAAUAUUCUCAAUUUCCUCAAAAAAAUCUUCUUCUUAAUUCCAAAUUUAUUGAUCCCUGGAUUUCGAAUCAUACAAUUUAAAUUUCCUCUCUUAAUCCUUGUUAAUCUGUUUCAACAAUCAACAUUUUAAAUCAAAUCCUCUACUCUGAUUUUUUUUCUUCUUAUAUAUCACUUAGAUCAAGAAAUGGAGAAAAACACUAGCUGUUUUUUCUCCAAUUCAUCUCCAAAUCUUGUAAUCACUUGUUUCGUCGCCUUCAUUACCAUCAUAUUGGUUCGAUUUCUCUACGUUAUUUACCGAACCGGUAAGCCUCUAAACAAAAGAACUUCGCAGCAGACUCUCAGUACUCUCAUUGUUUUAGGUUCAGGUACUCUUCAAAUUUCGUUUAUCUGUUUCCUUAUUUGCCUUUAAACUUCACGAUGUUUUAUUUUGAUCUUUGGAUAUUGAUUUAUCGAUAUAGGAGGACACACAGCGGAGAUGAUUAAUCUUUUAUUAGUUUUACAAAAGGAUCGAUUUACGCCCGAGGUUUUAUAUCGCCGCCGCUACUGAUAAUAUGAGUCUUCAGAAAGCUCGCGUGUUUGAGAAUUCUUUGGUUGAUUCGGUAAAAUUGGCUACUUCAAAUUUUAAUUAUGUUAUUAAUUGCUACUAGGAUUCUUUUUAGUACUUUCUUUCAUUGGAUUUCAAUUUGUUUAAUGUGAAUUUUUGUUCUUGAGUGUACGUUUUAUAUAUUCCUUUGAAUUAUUAUUAAUUAAUGAUUUUGAUAUUCUUUUUAGUACUUUUCCCCUUUAUGUGUCAAUGUUGUUAAUUUUCGAUGUUAUUUUUAAGGUAAAUGUAGCUCUUUUUUAUUGGAAUGUUUGAUGGCAUCACAAUUGAAUGUGCAUCACUCGUUCUAAAUGAUAUCCUAAUUGCAGACCCUCAAGUAUGAUCCACUGGACAGCCUAGACUAACAGUUUUUUUCAUUGCCGAUUUCGUGUGUUGGUAGUUACUUUUUGCAAUCAUUUCUAUUAGCUUGUAAAAUUUAAAGUUUUAAAUGAGUUUUGACAUUGAAUGGAGGAUGGUUCCAUAGCUGUGCUUAUCGUUAAGAAGUAGAACUAUGUUUCAUAAUCAUUUUGCUGUUUUGCUGGUCAAAUAAGAGAUUUACUUCUUAAACUUAUUUCAACAAUAGGGUGCCAAGGGAAUCUCUGCAGAGUUUAUGCAAAUCUAUAGAAGCAGGGAAGUUGGUCAAUCAUAUGUAACUUCUGUCUGGACAACUUUAGUUGCUACGGCUCAUGCAUUGUGGCUAAUGAUUAAAAUCAGACCUCAAGUGGUAUUUUUCUGUUUCUGUUAUGUCCAUCCAUUUUUUCCCCUUCCAAUCUUGUUACUUUUAUUAAAGAAAGAUUCCAGAAUCAAAUUUCUAGUUAUUAACUUGACUUUAAUUGCAGGUUCUUUGCAAUGGACCUGGUACUUGUAUUCCUCUAUGUGUAAUUGCUUUCAUUUUCAAGGUUUGUCUGUUUUCCCUGGAAGCCAUAUUAUUUUGUAUUGCUUUCUCUCUGAGAUAUUACUGAUGAAAUUUUUCCAAAAGUUAAAUGCAUAAACAUUUGUACAUCUAGGAAAGUUGGAGUUAGCCAUUUUUCUUGGAAAUUUUGCUUGCAGGUUGUUGGGAUUAGAUGGUCAUCCAUAUUUUAUGUUGAGAGCAUUGCAAGAGUAAAAAGGCUCUCUUUAAGUGGUCUGUUGCUUUACAAGUUACAGAUUGCAGAUCAGUUCUUUGUGCAAUGGCCACAACUGCAGAGAAAAUACCCUCGAGCUCGUUAUGUUGGUUGCCUGAUGUAGUGAAUUAAGUCUGCUGCUGAUGGGUACUCUUAUUUUAACUUCUAAGGUUUUUUUUUUUUUUUUUUACUUAAAUAGUGUAUUCAGCAACAUGGUCUGAAGUAGACCAUGAUAUUUGGCCAAAAAGAAAAAGUGAUAGAAUGCGACACGAUUCUUUUGAAAAUUUGACUCUAUUUACUACAGUUGCACAUUAACAAAAGCAUGUUAUUUAAUAAUUCUAGCGUAUCAUUUCACUGCCCGAAUAUUAAGUCCUUAAAUUUGUUGGCAAAUAACUUCUGAGGCAUAAGUUUCUAGUUCAACAUUUCAAAAACCUCUGCAUGUGUUUCUCAAUUUAGAAGCUUUCUGAUCAAGCCAUUGCAAGCAGUGCAUAAUCCGAAUGCAUAUUUCCUUUGGAGACUUCAGUGUGGCUUGCUGGACCAGUUCUGAAAUAUCAGGACAUAGUUAGUAGAACUAGUGAUUUGAUUAUAAAAGGAGUAAACUUUUGUGAAGGGAAAAGUUGAUAGUGGAAGGUGUAAGAGUCCAAUAGAAUACACCAAAGCUAUGCUGCUUGCUCAUUGACAGUGCAAGCAACUUUUAGGUGCCUAGGUGGUGAGAGGCAGUAACAAGGAACGAAAAUCAGGAAGCCUACAAUUUGCGCAAGUGUAGUUACCCAUAUGCUUUUCCCACCUUUAUCGUAGUAUAGUCAUCUCAAGAGUGUGGAUGCUGACUGGUCAAAGAUCACCGAAAGUGCAUACAUGAUGAUGAGAUCCACUUAUAGUUUCUGGGUUAAGGGCUCACCGGUUUCUUGCCAUUCAGAUGCUGAGGUGAGCUUUCUUCCUUGAUUGCUUGUGAGAUGGAUUUGGAGGUGGUAGAAAAAGUUUUUAACCGUGACUAUUAAUUAAAAUUGAGAAAGUGCAAAUUCUUUUAGGUUCUAAUUUGGUUGCUUAAUAUUAUUUUGAAGAUAUGCAAAUUAAAACGUUUCGUUUUGAUGGAUGAUAAUGGAAAGAUAAAUUAUAUGAUUUUGCUUGACUGGAAUUCAAUAUUGAACUAGUUUUAACUUUUAAAUAUUUUAUUUGUCAUAACAAG